rnacentral:lncRNA from 1 species
GACCGCGCCCUGACCCUGUACACCACGCAGCCUGAGCGCUGGGCGGCGCUGCAGCAGGACAACAUGCGCCUGGACGUCAGGUGGGCAGAGAGCCAGGGCGGGGGGUUGAUGUGGGCAUGGUGCGUGUGGAUGUACUACGCUGCGUUUUGCGUGCAUGCCAAGUGCCUGCGGGGCCAUGACGGAAAAAAGCAGUACGAUGUGCUGGGCUUUGAUGCGGCGCGUGUUGCUUGUAUUCAAUGUCUGAUCUCUGCUCUCUGUAACUGCCUGCGCACGUGUGCUUUACUUCUCUGCAGCUGGGGCAAGUCGGCGAAGAGCUACGUGGACGUGUACCGCUCCAUCAGCGCCUGAGCAGGAAGAUUGAGAUGACUCAACAGAGAUUGGAGAAAAGGACGAGGGCGCAGCACGUCCUGCAUAGUGCAAGAGUGCUGCGGGCGCAGUGGCAGCGAAGGAGCAGGCACGGCGUAACGUCACACAUGCACGCUAAUGGGUGUGCCCCGCUGCGGGGACGGCAUUGGUUCUGGGGACCGCUCGUGAGUUCACCUAUUGUUUACUGCUGGCCUGGUCUUCAGACGGGGCUGCAGUGCUUGUAUUAUCAGCAAGGGACUUAUUUUUGCCGGUGGCAUAGUAACGGUACCAUUUGAGAGAGAGGUAUCACAGAGAGGCAUGGCACCGUACAUCCGAUGAUUUGGGUGGGGCGCUGGCGGUUUUGCGGGAGCGCACGACACGCGUUGCGCACAAGUAGCCCGCGAGUUUUGUACCUCGCCUCGAACCACGUUUUUGGGGUGCGUUUGAGGGCGAAACCAUUUUGCAGGGAGAUGAGAGAGGACGAGGUUGGCAGAACGCGGUGGUGCCAUACAUGGAACGAUUGCGCCACCCGUAGGCCAGUGGUACCGUAUCCGCCGGGGAAUUCCGAGCGAGCCUUGUACGUCACGCUUGUACGUAACUCGGUUACUGCGGACACAGAACUUGCUAUUUUUAUAUUUAAGGAAUUCGGCCACUGACGCCGUGGACGCCGCCCCUGCCUUCGUAAGAUACGAGCGCUGACCGCCCCCUCUACGCACACGCACACCACGCCUUCCCAUCACGGCCUGUCACCUUCCCACGCACCACAUCUGCACAUAGUAACCCGCCGGUCUUGCGUCCAAAGGCUGCAGUGACAGUAUAUACGCACCGCAUGCCCCGCCUUCCCCCAUCCCCAUCACCCUGCGACCUGUGCUGACGAGCAUGGCGUAGCGGGCAGUCGGCUGCAGUGGCAGGGGUGUUGAGAGGUGGAAGUUUCCUUGCUGUCUGGUUGGCCUGCUGCCUGCUGCACGAGUGCUUGAUAGCUGGGCGCGACUGGGCACAUAUGGCGGGCGGUGCCUGCACAAACUGACCCCGGCUAUGUCCGGGAGAUGAGGCUAGUAUCGGACCCUUCGGCCUCAGACGGAGGACGUGGCGUGGGCUCAGCCCACUUUUCCCUUGCGAGGGAGAGCCACCUUUUCUUGUCAUAGUAGACCUGCAAGUAGCCAUUGCUACGGUUCCAGCCCUUCCCAUCGGCCUCCUCUCACUCCCUCAAGCUCCAGGGUCCCAGGCAGGCUACGCACCCACAUGUACUUGAAUGCAAAGUGUACCCACGCCUCCUCAUGCAACAACCAAUAAGUGUGGUCUUUAUGGAUCACUGAGGUGCGGAAUGCUUGACUCGCACCCCUGGCUUGAAUCUGCAAUGCUGUGCACUUACCACCACAUGCAAUCGUUCGUUUGCCCUCGCAUGUCAUUCAUGUAUAAGCUGCCUUUCGUCUGCCACCAUCAAAUCGCAACCACAUUUGACGCAUUCCGCAUGCGCCAUGCGGUGCGGCCCUUAUCUCCCUCGACGCCCCAUGCUAUCUCGCUCUCUGACGCCACCAGCAAAAUCACACAGCCCCUCCUGAGGCACCUGGUCAGUGCUGCCACUGUCGCCAGCACCUCAUUCCUCAGUCGUCCUUGUUCCCGCCACCAAACAGACCGCCGAGGGUACCAGUAUCCGCGACGUCCUCCACCGCGUCGCCCACCGCUGACGCCACGUCGGCCGCCGACAUCUUGGAAGCCUUUGAGUGGUGGCUACCCUCCACUUCGCGCUCCUCCUCCUCCUCGUCGUCGUCCUGGUCGCUGUCCUCCUCCUCCUCAGAGCUGCUCUCGUCCUGUGAACGGUGCGAGCACGUGGCAAGCGUGUUGGAAGUGGCGCUGCGUACAUGUGGUCCUGCUUACCACCGCCUCGCAUGCAUCUCUAGCGGUCCCGCCCCAACUGUCGUCGUCUUUCCCGCACGCCUGUCCCUUCCCACCAGCUCCCCACGCUAAGUCUCGGGUCUGUGUCUCUUUUGCAGGUUAACUUGACAGCAUUGACCAACAACCCAGCUCCAACAGGAUACCCUGCCCUGGCUCCUAUCUCGCCAGCCCGCACCUUCUCCUUCUUGAUAGAGGGGUCCACCGGCGAGAUGCCACUGAUGCCGUACAAGCGCGGGUCAGCGCCACCGGGCGGCGUCAGCUGCACCUUCCAGGCGGCGCCGCUGUGGCGGUGCAGAAGCGUCAGGUAGGCGCCGCGGCCCUCGUCGUCGGUGCCGAUGAGGGAGAGGUCCUUGGUGAUGUCGUAGAUGGCCUCAAUCUGGCGCAGUGGAGGCGAGGGAGCAGGCACGAACGUGUAUGCCGGUUUUAUGCGCAGUGUAUCAUGCGCGGUGUAUCAUGUGCGGUGCAUCAUGCGCGGUGAUCUCCCUCGGGUUCGGUAUGUCGGUUUUGCCAAUCCCAACACCCGACCCAGGGGGUUUGAGGCGUUUGAGGCGGCGGAAACUGAUACGGUAGUGCACACCGCUCCUCGUGCCACGGGCCGCCGGCCUACCUUGCCGCCGUACAGCUUGAAUAGUGGCUUGAGGUUCUCCACACCGCCCGACUGCGCGCCCGGCAGGCGCUCCAGGAUGUAGCUGAAGAAGCCGGUCUCGUGCACCUCGUCUGGGGGUGGGGUGAGUGGGUGUUUGGAGCCAUUGACGACAGCACGCGAUGCGGGGCAUCAGGUGCAGCAUGCGGAUUUUGCGGAGUCAGGCGUGCAGGGGAAGGAAGGGCAGGUUGCCUAGCAGCAGGCCGCCCCCGGCCGCCUCAAGUUAUGCCCUUGCAGCUCCUGCCUGUCCGCUGUUGUGUCGCAGCCCCUGUCCCAUUACUCCCGGCCCAGCCGUCCUCAUCUUUCAGCUCCAGCCAACCUACCAUCAAACGCCGCCGCGUGUAGCUGGCCAAAGCGCGCCAUGCCCACCGCCUGGCCCAGGUCUGCACACUGGCGCACGUCGGGGUUGCCACCCACGGUCGGCGGCCUGCCGGGUAUGCAGGCGGCGCACACGCACACCAUGCAAUGGUUAGGGGCCUGAAUGACACCGUUGGCAUUAUGUUGUGCAACACGGGCGCCCGGGGCACGUGAUAGGCCCCUUGCCCACCCGCAGACCCGUCAGUUGGUGGUCUGCCGGCCAGUCAGUCCCCCACUCACCAGUAGGUGACGUCGGUCAGCGAGGCCGGGUUAACCGUGAACGUGCCCUUGCGGAUGGCCUGUGAAGUUUAGGCGGAUUACGGGCAUGCAUAACCGCAUACCGCGCCAUUGCCAUCGCGCAUAACACCCUCCACAACUGCCCUGCGGCCCCAACCCCUUCGCGGACCCGGCCUUGCCGGCCGCACACACCUUGAUGUCCAGCGGGUGCCGCACAACCCAGGGUGCCACCGGCUGGCCCUGGUGCCGACCGCCGCGGCUGGCGUACUCCAACCAGAGCUGUCCGUUCUCCAAGUAGGCGCGCGCGCCCUCGCAGUUGGUGUGCGCGGUGUUGGCGCCUGGCGGCGCCGCCACCUUGAAGGGGUGCACACCGUGCGCCACCCAUUUCUUCUUGCGUUUGGAGAUCUGGGGGCGAAGGGCGGUUGCAGUUUGAGCAUGGGUGGGCUGGAGCAGUUUUAAAAUGCCGCCAGUGCCCUUCAUGCCCAUGCCGCAUGUGACGCCCCGUUCACCCCCAAUCCCAUUCUUUCUCCUGCAAUGCAAGUCCCCACCUUGAACAUCCAGGCGUCGCCGAUAGAAGUCAUAGCCAUAUAGUAGUUCUGCUGCUUGCCUGUGACCUUGGCGUCCACAGUCCACAAGCACUCCAGGUCCAUCGCUGUGCGCAGUCCACGGCCCUUGUCUUUUAUGAUAACUUCCUCACAGGUGCCCUUAGACAGGCACACCACCGACAGGCGCGGCGUCUCAUGCCCUUUGUUGUCGUGCACGACCAGGUAGUAUCCUGGGACGGAGGGCAAGAGCAGGGACGGAACGCUUGGGACACCCGGGACCAGCUGGGACAGCCUAAUACAGCCUGCGAUAGCCAGUCUCGCCAGUGUACGGCCGGGGCAUGGGUUGGGGAGUUGACUCCCCCCAACCUAAUGUGCCGCACGCAUCGGUAUGUGCACCCAAAAGCGUACGUGAUCGCGAAUCGUUCAUUGCCAUGGGUGGUUGGGCUAAGCUCUUUCCCCAUCCAACCUAACCCAGGGAUAGACAGGGUGGAGCGUCGUGGCUAUCAGGUGUUCAAGGCCCAGGUCAGCCCACGGCCUCGCCCACGCCCGUACCCAAGUUUCGGCUCCGGACCACGCCGUGCAUCUAAGCCGAACUCCCGCCAGCCCGUGCCCAAAGGAUGGCUGACCUGGGAUGGAAGCACCAGCUGUCACCUUGGAGAGGUCGUCCUGCAGCACCAGGAGCGACCACUCCGGGUCGCGCUCAUCGCGGGGCGGUGGCACGUUUGCUGGCUUUGCGAUGGGGGCCUGGUGCCAAGGGUUUGGUCAGGUAGGGUCAGAGCCAACAAAGGGUGGACAGAAAGUUGUCGUUGCUGAUUUAGGACACCAAACCGACCUGCAUUGUAUCAAGGUUAGAUUCAUGAAAUUAGCUUACCACGGGGGGAGCCUCAGAGGAAGCUCCGCAACCCAUCGAGCUGUAGAGCCGUUCGCCUCAACACUGACUACGCAAUUGUAGCAGAUAGCACAAGGUAGCACAAGGGAUGUAUCUUAUGUAAGGCGUCACUUGGGUCCAGUGCUAAGUCCACCAAGGUUGAAUUGACUGUCGUCUGGUCGCCGUCGAACGUCGUAAUCGCCCAAAGUUAUACAGUUGUAUAUGCGUUAGUAUAAUAUCUCUAGCUGCCCCUGGCCACGAAUUCAAGCAUUCGAAAAUCCUUAGCUUUGCCCACUUGCGUGUCACCCGCAUGUCACGUGUGCAGCACCCGCCCAGUACCCAUCUCGCUAACGCUGCGCUCCCCCCUCGCAAACGCCGCGCUCCCCCCUGCUCUAUCGCCUUUGGUCCUGCCUCGGUCCCUCCGCUGCACCUUCUGCCGCUUCGCCUUCUUGGCCUCCCCCCGGGCCGCCUGCACAGCCAAGUUACUGGCAUGCAUACUCGGUGGGAGGGCCCACGGCGGUGCACCCACAUAGCCGCCAGCUGCUCUCCUCGGCUACGCUUUGAGUUUGCCGCUUUUCUCUGCACUUCGAUGACCCACUCCCUGGCACGGUCCCACGGUCUCACAGGAUUUCUGGAAUUUUAGUCCUAUACCUAUUGCCUCCGCUACACCAGGUGCAACGCCCUCCUGUGAAGCGACAGGGCCCCGUACGCUGGUAGCAAGCCGAUGGGGAAUGUCAAGUUUCGCGGCCAGGGGAACGGUAGCCGCGCGGCCUGAACAUGGCGCAUGCAUCCAAGGGCUCGGGGAAGAUGAAAUAGCUCAAUCCCAAAUUGAACUGCAUCCGCAUGCGCCAACAUAGUCGUGCAUAUGGCAACAUUAGCUAGGCAGCAGCACUCCGAGGAGGGAACAUGUGGGUGCCAGCUCCUCGCACAGGCAUUCCGCAAUACAGGACGGCCGCCUCAUCCGCGGCGCCCAUCCCACAGUAACGCGUGAGCACUGCUCCGCACUGAAUCACGGCUCAAUGAGUUCCUAUACAGCCUAUUCCAGCAGUACGGUACGGUGCGCGCGAGGAUUCACGUGCCACCUGAGCGCCAUGCUGGAGAGUGGAGACACCUAACACCGCCGCAACAGUGUGCAACAGUGUGCGUCACACAACCUUGAUGCCUCAGGCCCCAGCGAUGCCGGCCCGGGCGGGCUCCGGCCAGCCCGGUGCACGCACCAGCUCCUUGACCGGCACCGGGCACCUAGCCCAGGCCACGUCGUCUUGCUGCGCCCUGCUGAACGCCGUCUCGGCCGCAAUAGAGCCAUACUGCGCCGCCUCCGCAGCGGCUGCCCGCGCAAGCGCACCACCCGGCACCUGCUCGAAGCGGUCGCCAUGACGAGUCACGCAGAAGCUGGGCUCGCGGGGCGGCGGCUGCCCGUCCUCGCCGGGCGGAGGCGGCGAAGCUCCAGGCGGGUCCAGAGGCGUCGGGUCCGCCACCAUUAGGAAGCUGAGGAUGCCGGCCAGCAGCAGCGGCUGUAGCGGUGAGGAUGUGCAGUAAGUCCGCGGCGUCAUUGGUCAUGCAGUGCAGCAUGGCGGCAUGCGUGCAGGCUCAAUCGGCUGGCAGGCCACAUCUGCGUGCCAGCCAUGCCAUCCGACCAUUGCAAGCCAUUGACGCCAGAACACGCAAUGCACCCAUGCACCCACAACGCACCUCACUCAUCACAGUCUCAGGCGUCAAGGGCGCCUUGUGCAGGCACAGCCGCCGCAGGGAGCGCAGGCCGGCGUGGCUGUACAGCCCCGCCCCCAGCCGCGCCGCGGUGAUGCGCGGGCAGGGUCCCAGCUCCAACUCCUCCAGCUGCGGCGUGGCUUCCGGCAGUAGCACCAGGAGGUCGUUGGCGUCCAGCCGCGCCAACCAUUGGCAGUCCAGCAGCCGCAGGCUGCGCAGCCUGGCCAUGCCGGCAUCCUGAGGUGGGCGAUGGCAAACGGGAUAGCGAUGCCCAGUCAGGCGCAGUAGCCCGCGGUGUGGGUAAGCGUCAGGUGUGGCGGCGCCAGAAAGGGGGGAAGCCAACAGGCACGGCAGUGGCGUGCAGAAAAGUGUUUGGUGGAACAGCCGGAAACCCGGAUGCGUGCGUGUCUUACCUGGAACUGCUGCAGGCCCUCGUGUGCGAAGAAGAUAGCGCCUAGCGAGCAUCAAACACAUUCAUGUUACGUGUCGGCCAUGGAUGCACAAAUGCCAGGUGUACAAGGAAGUAAGAGUAGGACCCCCUUUUGACGCACCCCUCAGCGACAGGUGGGUCAGGUUCCGAAGGCGCUUGAUGUGUUGGAAUAUUCUCCCGCGUGUGUUGAUGACGUCGAUUACCAGCACCUGAAGUUAAAGGGUAAGCGGGAACACAUUGGCGGGAGCGCGUGCUUGCCGUUCCCUUUAACACACACACACUGCGUGUUUCCUUCCCUUGUGCUGCCUUAGAUACACAUACGCACAGCCUCCCUUGCUGAUUUAAACACACAUACCACACGGCAGCCAGCCUCACUCCGUGGAAUGUGGGGCAGGGCCCAUAUUCUGGAGUGCAGACCGGGGAACACUUGUCUGGAGUGCAGACCUUUGUAUCCCACCCUGGCCUGUGCACCCUUCGUGUCGUUGCUCUCGACCCUUGCCCAGAUACUCUCCCUCGCUCUCACGCUCACUCUCCCCACCUGCAGCUUCGGCAGCGCAGCCAGGAAGUCCAGAUGCAUCUCGCCGCGUGCGCCCGCCCCCGACUGCGCCACAUCCCCGUCCUGGCUGUCGGCCACGCCCUCCUGCAGCUGCGGGUCAGCCAGGACCCAGCCGUCCGCGGCGAUGGGCUCAUCCGGGAGGCCGUCAAAAUCGUGGACAGGGUUCUGGAGCGCCUGCAGCACGGCCCUCUCGUGCGUCAACUCCUGGCGGUGCACGUACAGCGCCGUAAGCGAGCCCUGCGGGUCAAGUCAACACCAAGGGCACACAGCACAUGUUGCAAGGAGUGACGACAGCGUUGCGGCAGUGUUAGCAUGCCUCCAGUCAUCAAGACAACGCACGCCCACGUACCAGCUUGCUCAGGCCGUCGAAGCAGCCCAGGCGCGCGGCGUCACCGAAGGUGCCCUCGGUCAUGCCUGCAAGGGCAAGGGAGGAGGUCAUGAUACGUGUUAUAAGCGCGAGAUGGCGAAGAAGGGAGGAUGGUUCUGGAUUACGUGGCAUGCGUCAAAGUGCUCACUCUCCACCUCUGACGCGGCCCGGUGCCGCCUCACCAGCGAUGCGUAGCUCCCUAAGCCCCAGGAUGUUGGCCAGGCUCCUCAACCUGCUGCGCAUGAAGCGCUUGUUGUAGUGCACCACCAGCGAGUGCAUGCGAGGGAAGGGCUCGUGCCCCAAAGGGUCCACGUCGGCCGCCCACGCCGCUCUGAGCUGAGCCGGCUGCAGCUGCGGCGGCUGCGACGUGGAGGGCCCUGUGACCGCCUCUUGCUGCAUCGCCACCUCCUGGCCCAUGGUCUCCUGCAAGCCCUCCGCCAUCGGCGCAUCCGCUGGCUGCACUACACCCGCCAGCAUCUCGGCCCGCUCCCUGUCGCCCUGCUCCAUCGCUCCCACACCCGGAUCCGCACCCGCGGUGCCGCGUGUGCCCUGGGCACUGGGCUCCUUAUCCAUAUCCAUGGCUUCACCGCCGCUACCCGCUGCACAGCUUAACCCCGACCCAGCUGCUGCCUCUUGCUUGACUCCUGCUGCCUCUUGCUUGACACCGGAAGCCCUGUUGCCGGCCCUGCUGCCGCCGGCCAGCCCGCGGCCACGGCCCAGGCGCUGCGCCACGACCGCCAUCACGUCGGCCGCGGCAUCCAGCUCCUGCUGCGGCUGCUGUGUGUCCUUGGCAGGGCCGGGGAUGGGCAGCAGCUCGAAGUCACGGGCGGUGUAGGGCAGGCCCGCGCCGUACAGCCUAACCUGUGGGGGAGGUGGGCGAAGCCAGCGCAGUCCAGCGUGCGCGCGCAGCAGUGCGGAUGUGUGUUGUUUGCAAGUAAGUGUACGACAAGCUGAAAAGAUCGGGCAUGUAAUUCCUAGCUGCGAUCCUAGCCGGGGGCUCCAAGACCAAAGCAGUUUGCGGGGCCAACGCAUGCCUGCUGCACGCAUGUGGAUAUUGUGCCACUCACAUUGUGCAUGACCAGGUACUUGAGCUGCGGCGCCACCAUGGGCAGGUCACGGAGCAGCAGGUCGCCCGCCUGCUGGAACUUCUCAGCCCGGCUGCAGCAAACACACGGCGGGGCAAGCGUAGAGCAAGAGCGAAGCAGGAGGGAACGGGACAUGGGCCAGGUCAGAGCGAGCUCAGGGCAGUUCGGCAUGUAGAAUUGCCACAGGCAACCUGUUACAGGGCGCAUGCGCCUAUCGCCGCGGCGCACACGGCACGCUGCGCCAGCUCACCGGGUCCACGACUUCCAGCCCGAAACGUCUAGCCCCUCCAGCUGCACACGGCUGCACACGUGCGCCAGCAGCGCCGGCUGGAUGCAGUCGCGGUCGGCCGCCGUCAGCUCCAGCCGUCGCAGCCGGGCGCCCAACGACGCGAUGCUCAGCAGCAUGGUGGUGGAGCGGCAGCGGGCUGCGCGCAGGUGCGUCAGGCGCCGCAGCGGCGCAAGUGUGGCACCCCCAAGCUUGUUUGCACUGCAAGAGGAAGCAGAGCACGGUCCGUAAGACCAUCAGGGCAGCAGUGCACGGUUGCUAAACCGGACGGAAACACAAUACCGUACUGCAGCCGUUUGGGAUGCAGAAGUUAGGGGUACAGGACCAGAGUCAGCUGUCAAAGUCAGGGUCAGGGUCAGAAUCAGGGUCAGAGAGGGUCAGAGUCAGGGUCAGGUCCCCAUGCUACCAUGCCGUCAGGCCCCUGCCGCCCUAGCCGCUUCCGUCCUAGUCGCUUGCCUUUGGUCUCUGGAGAAGCUGACGUCCAGGACCUCCAGCGUGGCCCCCAGGUCUGCCAUGAGCGCGUUCCAGGUGGCGGCGUUGAGCCGCCUGCUGGGGAACUGGAAGGCCAGCUGCGUCAGGCCCGACAGCGCCAGCCCCAUGGCCGUGACGUCGUCAUUCAGCAGCUCCUGGUUGCGGAUGUGCAGGCAGCUGCGAGACGGGAUGCAGCGGCGCGGGACAAGGCGAGCAGGGGGCCAUUCAUCAAGAAGAAAGCUCAAGCGCCGUCCAUAGGAGCGUGGCCGGAGUGAUGAUGCCCCAAACACAGGCAGUUUGUUCCAAACGAUCGUGGCUGCUGACACAAGCAUCAGUAUGGAGAAAUAUCCGGCCGCACCUGAGGUUGGGCAGGGAGCCAACCGCGAGGAGCCCCAGCAGCGGCAACCCGCCAAUGUACAGCCGCCCUGCAGGACCGGCACCCGCACCCGCACCGGCACCAGCUCCAGCACCGCCAUCAGCGAGCGCACCGGCGGCUCCGAGUGCGCCCUGAGCCCCCGCCGCCGCAGCCAGCGCCGCCGCUGCGGCCUCCAUUAGCGCCUCCAUAUCGGCUCCCGCCGGAUCAUCAGCAGCCGCUACCGCCGCCACCGCUUCCGCCGCUUCCGCCACUGCCGCUGGCACAGGUGCGGCCAGGGGCAUGACCCCAGCGGCCUGAAGGACGCUGACCAUAUCUAUCUCCACAUGCAGCCCCACCUCCAGCCGCCGCAGCCCUGACAUGGCCGGCAACGCCUCCGCCAGCGCCGCAGCCAGCUGCACCUCGGGCAGUGACACCCAGAGCCGAGCAAAGCGCACUUCCUCAAUCCUGCUGAGCAGGCUGUACAGCCUGACGAUGGCGGAGCCCUCAUUCCAGGACGCCGGCGGCGGCUCAGGGUGCGGCCUGACACAGUUGAGCGCGAGGCAGGUGAGCGUCGUGAGCUGGGACAGGGCGGCCAUGUCCGAGUGACGCAGCUGCAUGCCCGAGGCGUCCAAGUGCCGGAGCUGCCCCCUGAGGGGCAGCAGCAGCGCCAGGCCCUGCCCGCCCAGGUCCUGGUGCGAGAUGUUGAGGGAGGUCAGGCUGGGGAACUGGCUCACCAGCCGCGCAGGCUCGCGCAAUGGUGCCAGAUACUGUGAGGAUGGAAGUGGCGGUGGGGGUAAGUCUAUCACAGGGGGAGGGCGCGCAGCCAUGUAGGUCCGUUGCGGCGGCACAUCGUAAUGGGCAGGGCCGAAAUGGAGAUCAAGCAUGGAACACGCCGCACCAGCUGCCAAGCAGCGACAUGGCCUUGCACAGCGACAAGUUGCCGCCGCCCUCCCAGACCGCUCGCCCACCUUGAAGCCUGACACAGGCAUGGUGCGACGCAGCGGCGCAUCCAGCACCUGCACCUGGUCCCACGUCCGCCCCUGCGCGGCCUCGCCCAGGCUGCUGGGCCGCAGGCGCCGUUGCUGCGGCUUAAGCACCCUGUACCAGGCGGUACAGGCGCUCAUGAGGGCGCCGCAGAUGGUGGCGUCGGGGUUGUCGGGGGCUAGCAGGGCGGCGCCCACUGUGGCGAUGCGGACGACCAGCUCGUCAGGCAGGGCCGUCCAGUCGCGCGACGGCUGCAUCAUGGCGAGCGCCCGGUCGUGGGGCGUGCCCUGCUCCAUGUAUUGGUCCUGUGGAGGGGUCGGAGGUGUGGAGGGUUGCAGGGUGGGGGUGCACGCGCGGCAACUGCAUGUGAGGCAGGGCGUGGGUGGGAUUGCAGCUCACGUGGCCGGCGACGAUUGCCUCCGCCGGCGGCCAGUCCGGUUGUAGCUUGAGCAGCUGGGACUCCGCACUGUGUGGGGGUAAGUGCGCGCCAAACCGGAGGUCGUGUAUGUCCAAGGUAGGCUCUCCUGUCAACUAGUUCACUGACUACGCUUACGUGUCUUCAAGAUGAACCCUCAUAAGCACUGUGCGAGCUUCAUCCUCCAUGCUGGUGGGCCAAUCUCGCUCGAUAUGUAGGCCGUUCAGCCUGAGAUCUUCAAAGAGGGCUCAUUUGCAGAUUAUUGUUUUGCGGAGGAUUCUUUUCAAAAAGCGAGUCGGCGUCUACAAAAAAUUAUCGACUCAUCUGGCCUGGUGAUGUGGAUUCGACUGUAUAAACAAUUUGCGUUACCCCGGACCUUGCACUGCAAAAGCUGAUGCAGCUGUGAAACAUGCCAGCGUCACCAAUCACCUGUGCGAGCCGGAUCCGUGCUGUGCGGUGGCAAUCGGCCUCCCGCACUCGCAAAGUCAGUAAAAUAUGUGUCCCCGCCACCAGCAGCGGCAAUUUCAGUGGGCUGAAGCCAUAUAGGGAGUCGACUUCGAAUUGUAGCGACAGCCCUGACAGCGCAGCUCAAGAAUACAUACGUAUGAAAUACAAUGAACGCGCCGCCAAGCGCUUGGUGUGAUUAUUUUCCAGCAUCAGAAUUCAGUCCAAAGGAUAGGCGCGCCCUGCUGAUAGACGACCUCCUAAAAUUCUUCACCAGCGAUGCUGGCUGCUCUUUCGUCCAGGCGUUGCGGCCGUCGCGCGUGAACGGUUGCUAUGUGCUCCAGGUCGACUAUGCCGACCUUGAAACCAAAUCGGGUUUGCCUGAUGUGCCGGCUGCGCUCGACGGCUCGCCCGUGGAGGCCCUGGGCUGCGUGGCCGUGGCCGCACACGAGGUACAGCUCAGAAUGCGACCUGUCUAAGGCUGAGCUCAUGGGCAAAUGCAGCCUACUUCUCUCAUGGUGGCAUAAAUUAAGUAGACGUUGAUAUGUUCAGCUGCGAGGGGGCAGCGCAGGGGUGCAGUGUGGCUGAUUGUUCCUGGCGUGCACACCACAGGCGGCGUUUAAGCACGGCAAGGGGCGGCUCGCAGAUGGGAUCUCGGCGGCCCCCAUGCAGAGCGGCGCCACGCAUACAGCCCCGGGGGCAGCUAACGGCGUGCCGCCUCCCGGCCGCGUCAUGGUGCGACUGUACAACCACCCCGCCUCCCUAACCCACAUCCGCGCCCUGAAGUCGAGCUCCAUUGGUACGUGGCUGCUACAUACUUGGACCUGGUCCCUGCAGAAGUGCAGAGGGUAUCGCAGCACCUCACACAGCGCACCAUUGCAUCCCUCUCAUUCCCAAUCAUCAACGUGCCAUAUCACACUAGCCGACAAGUAGCUUACACACGUCUUCGCAGGCAAGCUGGUCACCCUGCGCGGCACGGUCGUGCGCAUGACCCCCGUGCGGCCGUUGGUGACCCAUAUGGACUUCGUAUGCGCCAAGUGCGGCUCCCGCACCACACAGGCCUUCACCGACGGCGUGUAUGCGUUGCCCACUAAAUGUGCUGGUGAGUGCUGUGAGUUGUGCUGCUGCAGACAGGGCCGCGAUUGCGCUGGUAUUUGGUGCUAGUGUGAACAUGUUGCUCGGCUGGGAGGAAGGCGCAACAGAGUCUGCGUGCACUCUGCCCCAACACGCCGGCCAGGUGACGGCUGCCGCAGCCGGACCUUCGCGCCACACCGUGCCUCAGCCCGCUGCGUGGACUGGCAGAAGAUUCGGUUGCAGGUCAGUUAGAGUGGUGCUGAAGCGGGUAGCUGGCGGCAGUGUCGGGCAGCCGAGGCUUGACACCGCAUCCGCCCAGUGCCGCUUCUCUCAACCACCAGUCCGCAUGUUGUUCGACGAUUUGGGUCACAUGUGGUGAUGUGGGGCCUUGCAUACUUACACGCUGCUGGUGCUACCGCCGCCGUUGUUGCCACCGCCGCAGGAGCUGCUGGGUGCUGACAAGGCGGCUGAGGGGCAGGUGCCCCGCAGUGUGGAGGUGGAGCUGUCCGGUGACCUGGUGCACGGGGCGGUGGUGGGCGACGUGGUGACGGUGGUGGGCAUCGUCAAGGUCAUGGCCACAGGGGACGACCUGGGUAAGCACAGGGGGGAGCAGGGAGGGUGGUGGUGGACAGGUGGGUCGGAGUGGAGCUGCACCAGGAUCUGCAUACCGUGAAUCACCUACACUCCCGAAAGCGUCAUGGCCGGGAACGAACUGUAAUGAAUUUGUUUGACGACCGUAGAUAUGCAGAGCAUCCUGAGUCCAGGCGCUUACCUUUGGAGCCAUUGCAGGCAAGUUCGCGGCGACCGGCAGCGUCAAUGGCGGUGGGCCUCCUGGCGGCCCUGGUGGCUUUCAGGGCGGUGGGGGAGGUGGUGGUGGCGGCGGCGCUGGCGGCUCCCGCAACGGCAGCUCCCUGUUCCUCAUGUACCUGGAGGCUGUGUCGCUGAGCUGCCCCAGGCAGCAGCUGCAGGGAGAGGUGAGUGCGUGUGGGCACAGCGCCUUGGGCGCCGCUGCCUCCUUAGUGAUGCGCUCCACCUUCCGUUACGCCAUGUGCUGCGGCCAUUCCGCAUGCGGCACCAACACAACGCUGGUCCGCUCAUCAGUCCUUGACUUACAGCCGUGCCCCGUAAAUGUGCGGCCCGGCGCGGCGCACGCAGGUGCCGCUGUUGGGCGACAGCAGUGCCGCGGGCGGGCUGCCGGGCUCCACCUCCCUGCCGUCGUUCAUCACCCGGGACCUGGCGUUUGUGGUCAAGUUUUGCGAGGUGGGUCCGGCACGCACAUUGGCGCUUCGGCGAACCUCAAGCCUUUGUUGUUGCUUAGGCUUCCACUGUGGUUGGAUUCUCGCAGCCGGCGGGUCAACAAGUGCUCCUAGAACCUAUCUUCCCAUGCGCUUCGCACCGGACCCCAUCAGGGCAACCCUUCCCGGCAUGCGCCCUCUGCCCCCUUUCUCCCUCUCUCUCUCCUCCCCGACUUCCAUGCCUGCCCACUGCGCCCAUGUAGACAUUCGGCGGCGACCAGCUGCGGCAGCUGGUCCACGCGCUGUGCCCCUCCAUCUACGGCCACGAGCUGGUCAAGGCAGGCAUCGUGCUGGCGCUACUGGGGGGCGUGCGCAAGCACACAGGGGCUGAGGGAAGCGGCGGAGCCGGAGCCGGGCCGGAAUGCCAGCCGAGGGCGGGGCGAGUGCCGGUGCGCGGUGACAUCCACGUGCUGGUGGUGGGAGACCCCGGCCUGGGCAAGAGCCAGCUGCUGCAGGUGAGCGGCUGGGUUUGGGUGGCUCUGACCAUACCCAAGAAGCAUGCAUUAAAGGAAGACGAAGUCCAGUAGACCCAUGUGCACAUUGAGCAAUACGGUUGGGGUGAGAGAGCAUGGGCAUGACUUGAGCGCAGGGCUGCAUCAGCUGUAAACGGCUGCAAAGUUUUAUUCUGGGUGGGCAGGUGCGCGGCUGGAUUAGGGUGGGGGUGCCAUGGUACCCCAUGAGUAUUUGGUCAGAGGUACCGGUAUAGGAAGACCAGUACGCUCUUAUGCAAAAGGGUGCAUUUUGUUUGAGCGCACGACUUGUGACAGCCGCACACACUCCACACUCUUGUCGUGUCCCCAGGCCGCAGCCGCAGCGGCGCCUCGUGGCAUCUACGUGUGUGGCAACACUUCCACCUCGGCCGGCCUCACAGUCAGCGUGGUGAGUGCAAGGGGCCAUGCGGUACAGUUUGCAAGCUCCCCUUGCCCUUGGUACCGCUCCCGCACAACCAUGGCGAGUUUUAGUAAACGGUGUUUGCGGUUCCGUGAGCUUGCGCUUCACAUGUUGUAAUAGGAUGUCUGGCGGUGCAGCCACAGCUGUCACUGUGCGCCGGGCCAAAAUGUGCUUGCGGGCCUCCAGCAAGAGCCGAAGCAGCCUCAGGACGUGUGCCGGGAGCUCUGCAGUAUGCAUGUGCCGCCAGCUGCUGCGACCCGUACCACUGCCACUGCCGCACAGGUCCGUGACGCCGUCACUGGCGAUUCAGUCCUGGAGGCUGGUGCGGUCGUGCUCAGCGACUGCGGGUGAGCUCACACAUUCUUGGAAAUAUAAACACAGACGCAUGUCGGCAUGUGUGUUCACACGCGCUGCGGCUCUAGACACUCUCACCUCCUUGCCGGCGCCCUGGCGCUGCAUCUUGCAGCCUGGUGAGCACCUGCAUUCCCUACGCCUGCUUGACGACUGCAUGGCACCCGCGCAGGCUGUGCUGUGUGGAUGAGUUUGACAAGAUGACGAACGAGCACCAGGCGCUGUUGGAGGUCAUGGAGCAGCAGGAGGUGGGGUAAGGGGGCUUGCACCGCGGGGGUUGCACGCACACGCCGAAUGAGGCGCCGGAGGGUAUGUAUGCCGGCAGCGGAUGCGAGGCGGCAGGUGAUCGCUGCCCAGUAGUGCACCUCCCACCGACCUACCCACAACCGUUUGUGCCAGUACCUACUGCUACUACUGCUGCCACUGCUGUUACUCCGGGUCCUGCUCCUGCUGCAGGUGAGUGUGGCCAAGGCGGGCCUGGUUGCAAACCUGCCGGCACGCGCCUCCAUCCUGGCCGCAGCCAACCCGGUGGGCGGACACUACAACCGGGCCAAGACACUGGCGGAAAAUCUAAAGGUACGUGGGGGUAGGUGCGGCUGCUGGGCUGCGUGUGCAUAGCUUCAGCUCUCUGCACCCUCAUCUGCGCGGCUUUAGCUGCUUACAAGGCCCACGCACAUUGCAUCAUGGGCCUCUGCAGCACCGUGACCUGCGGUAUUGAUGCUUUCCUCGCAGGGCACCUCGCCCGCCAUGCUGAGCCGUUUCGACCUGAUCUUUGUGCUGCUGGACCGGCCGGAUGAGCAGCUGGACCAGGCGUUGAGCGAGCACGUCAUGGCGCUGCACAGCGGUGAGCGCAGGGAGGAGGGAGGAGGGAGGAGGGAGGAGGGACUACAUGUGUCCUAGCCAAACGAAGGGGCCCCGUGGUCAUCGGACUGGGGGCAGGCGGGGAGCGUGGCCGCGUGGUAGCACAAACGGGAAUACCGUAACAUAGGGCAUGCCUCGCGCGCCAUAUGACAUGCUGGCGUGUCUGCGGCGAAAUCACCGCCACCGCUGCAGGCAUGGCGGACCGCGCGGACAAGGCGCGGCAGCGACUGCUGCAGUACGGCUCCUCCGCGGGGCCGGUGGGGCUGCUCACGGCUGGCCCCUCAGCCUCGGGCCUGGGCGGCCCCAGCCAGUCCUACGGCGGUGGCACACAGGCUGGAUUCGGGGCCACACAGGCCGGCGGUCCGGGUGGUCCUGGUGGCGGGCGGGUGCCGCUGUCGCAGCGGCUGAAGCUGUCGGGCGCCGAGGGCGACAACGCCAAGCUGCCGAUACCGCUGCUGAAGAAGUACGUGCAGUACGCGCGGACGUACUGCCAUCCGCGCCUGUCGGAAGAGGCCAAGCAGGUGCUGCAGGUAAGUGAGCCGGGUGGCCUGCACGGGCUUUGGGUGGGGAUUGUGGCAGGUAUGGGCGUUCGUCAUUUUGUAACUUAAGAGUGACCCGAGUUUGGUUGCAUGUCCAAUAUCUUCCUUGCCUGCAGGCCUUCUACCUCCAAAUGCGGGCGCAGGCGGUGCCGGGCUCCAAGAACCCUGUCACGGUAUGGAUGUGGCAGUGGACUGGCAUGGGCGGCGUCUGGCGUGUUGUCAAGCUGAAUCAGUGAAGGGCCUAUUUGAUGCAUAGCAACAAUUGAGCGACACGUGCGGCACGCACAGGCCCGGCAGCUGGAGAGCUUGGUGCGGCUGGCGGAGGCGCGGGCGCGAGCGGAGCUAAGGCCUGUGGUGGAGCGAAGCGACGCGGAGGUGCGCAUCUGCGGUUAACAUUGCCUGCGUCAAAAUGACUGCCUAUGUAAGCAACCGCUGUCUUUCAGGGGAGCUUUUCGAGCACCACACCCCGUGCCUCUGACUGCCUGACGUCCCUACACCCCUCCGCCCCUCCUCACCCCACACACGCGGUAGGACGUGGUGGACCUGGUGCGCGAGGCGCUUUACGACCGCUUCGGGGCGGACCUGGCACUGGGCUGCACCGACUACCGCGCAGUGAGUACCGCGAGUACGAGGGCAAGUGCCGCCGUCGCCUGUGGUCUGUGGUGAUGCCGCGGAGGGAGGCCUCUCAGCCUUACCAACUGGCAUUGCGGUGAUGUUAGGGAGAGGUUCUGGUCUUCAGUGCCCUCCGUUCAUGCCGCGUGGUUGUGGCAGUAACGGCACGCUGGUUUUGCAAAAUCCUCCAUAGUCGGUAACAAUUCGCCUUCUGAAUGCAGGGCGGCGGCCGCGCGGGCAGCCGCGGCGCCGAGACGGCCCGCUUCAUGUCCGCACUGCGACGCCAGGCGGAGCGCGAGGGCCGCUGCGUGUUCUCCUCCGCCGAGCUUUACAGCCUGGCCAACGAGCUCAGCCUGGCGGUGCGGGACGUGGCGGCGUUCGUGGACCAGCUCAACGAGUCGGGUAGGUGGUUGGGGAGGGUUAAGAGGGCUUGGUGGGUGGGAACUGGGAAGGAAGGCUGUGGGUUUCGGUGUAAUGCCGGAUGAACGGAGACCCGAGGUAGCCUGCAGCGCCAGCGCGCCUCGGGUGUAAUGUUGCUUCCGUUACUAAUGCUCGUGUGUACUGCGCAGGCCAACUGCUCAAGCGCGGCGGCGGGCAGUACAAGGUGGAGGGGGUAUCGCUGCCCAGCGCUUCCAACCAGGGCAACGGCAGCGUAUGCUUUUAGGUAAAGGCUGGCACGAGCAUGUGACGCAGGGGUACUUGGAGGAUUGUGAAAGUUGUGUGUCAAGCCAUGGGAGUGCGGCAAACAGGACUGGCAGCAUGCAUAGUGCAGAGUGGGAGGGCAUAUGAGCAAGGCAAAGUGGUAGACUGAGAGAGAAAGUGACGGUGGACGUAGCAGGAUGUGGUGCGUGUUUCAAUGCUUGCGCGCGUGCGGAGCGUUGUUAGCAUUGUCUUCUAACAGCAUAUGCAGGCCAGAUGCUUGCCAGGAUGUGUCCUUUCAAGUCUCCGCCGGUGAAAUGGCACGUUUCACCAGCGCCGGGCAAUGAUGGUUCGGCGCGGCGGCACGAAACCCGCUGGUCGCCAUAUCAAGCUUUCAGUGUGCAACUGCAUAAUACGUGUAGGUGCUACAAAUGAUUUGCUAUGCGCCACAUUUGUAACAUAGUUUCCCACUCCGACGAUGCAACCUGUUCCAGCGGGCGCUGAGCGAACCGUCUUUCGUGCCAUCCGCGAUCCUUACCAAGGGUAUCAAGCAAAGCGUCGUCAGGAUGCACUUCAGAGACAGAAAGUCGCACGUCUGCAGAGCGCUAAUCGCGCGCGAACAUUGGUACAGGAGCCAGGGCAGGUGAGCUGAUUGGCAUUAUUUUAAUGACGGAAUUAUACGUUUUCAACUCAUCACCUAAGGAAAGGGUGUAUGGUGAAACCCGAUGCCGGCGAGCAUGUCACUUGCGCAACCAAAAUACCCCAUACAACAGGAGGAGAGUGAGUCUGGGCUAGAUGUGGAGGUUGACGAGGAGCGGGGGCCGCAGGAGGACGAGCCCAUGGAGGCCUCCACCUCGUCUGCUACUGCCGCCCGGGUACCCGGCAGCAGUGGCCGCGCCCGGCGCAAGGGCAGCGCGGCGGGCAAGCCUGUGCGCAACGGCGGGGUGCGGGCGUACGGGCAGCAGUACGGCAACGAGCUGAUGCAGCCGGAGUGGAUGACGGAUGUGCCGGUGGACCUUGGCGGCAACUGGUGGGUGCGCGGGCCUCAAGACGGCGGGUGGGAAACAGCUGGGGACAGCUUCGUCGAACGUGCUGGCGAGGCCUGGGCCGUAGUUCAACAUACAUGUUGUACAUCGUGCAAUGGUUGACUGAGCGCUCUAUGGGUGAUGCUGGGUGGAUGCAGGCUGGUAAUGCCGAGGCCGGAGGGCAUGCGCUGCCUGCUGGUCACGGCCAGGUGAGGCUGUGUGCGUGCUGAGGGCAGACGGCAGUGGGGACUGGGCUAUGGGGACGGUGGACGGUGGCGUUGUUCAUUGGGUCUGGACGGCUGGGUGGAAUAGGCACACCAGGCAACUUUGUCCUCGAACAGGCCCGGCUUUGACCUGACCGUGCGCGGCACACCUGAAAGCUGCGGCGCACGUUAGCCACGACUCUCAGAUGUGCCUCCUCCCCCACUCCCUUCCUGCUCUCCCUCCCUGACAUGUAUUCAUCGGUCUUCAGGGGCCGCACCGUUUCGUGGCUGCGUAACGGCUCACCGCUGCACCGCUUCCACUGCGCACUGCCCGGCGGCUCGCCAGGCACAGCCGCCCGCUGCGGCGGGGCCGCGGGCGCCUCCGCUGCGGCCGCCGGCUUGGGCGGCUCUGGCGACUACUGCCUCCUGGACUGCAUCUUCCACCCGCCCAACAACACCUACUACAUACAGGUGAGGCCGCUACGACAUAACCUGGACCAAGUACUGCAGCGCCACCACAGCCUUCGGACUCAGCCGGAUGCAACUCGUGGCCGUUUGCGCCGCGCCCUGCGUACUCUUACUGCCGGCCACCAGCUACUUUACAUUGCGCGUGCUGCUGAUGAUUUUACACUACGCUCAUGUGCUCCCACGCCGUCAGGACCUGCUGUGCUGGCGCGGCUAUGCGCUGUACGACUGCGCGGCGGAGUUCCGGCAGUACUGGCUGGCAGCCAAACUGGCGGAGGAGGAGGGCGGAAGGCUGAGGGAGCUGCUGGCGCAGGUCCAGCCGCCUCCUCCGCCGCCACCGCCACCACCGCGUGCAGGGGCGUCAGCAGCGGCCGGAGCGGCAGGGGAGCAGGGCGGGAGGAGGCAGCGUCCAGGGAGGGAAGGGCGAAGCGGGAGAGGCGCAGGCCGGCAAGGCGGUGCCGCUGGCGACGAAGACGUCAGCAUGGGCGGUGCGGGCGAGGACGGAGUGGAGGCGGCGGGAGCGGAGGAUGAGCCGUACGCGCCGCUGGCCACUUUUCGGAUUGUGGCACUGCCGGUGCAGCCCUGCACGCAGGAGGGUCUGCGGGCGGCAUACGGCGACCCUGCACAGAUGCUGGCGGCCGCAGCUGCGCUGGCGGCUGGGGCUGGGCCAGACGCAGGAACAGGCUCGGGCGACUUGGCCAUGCAGGCCGACACACAUAUUGGAGCACCGGCGUCCGCUCCUGCACCAUUAGCAGCCGCGGGGCAGGGGCAAGCGGAGGUGGCAGGGGCGGCUGUGGACUUCAUGCGUGAUGGGUUGUACCUGCUGCACCGGCAGGGCCACUACGUGCCGGGGCCGACGCCCAGUCCGCUGGCGCUGCUGUGGAAGGACCUGGGCUGCAGCAGGUGAGGAGCGCGGGCGGGCGGGAGGUCGGGGCUCAAGUGCUGCGUGUGAACUGCGCGUUGUAAACGGCUUCACGUGCCGGCAGACUCUGGGAAGAAUUAGCCUUGGACGCCCACUGACGCCCACUGCGCAGGUACCUGAUGGACACAGACAACAAGGGUCUGCCGCUGGAGCACCAGGUGUGGCGAGGGGUCUGGCGAGGCUGUGGCGAGGGGUGGGGUGAGGGGUGGAGUGAGGGGCGGGGCGAGGGGCGGGGCGAGAGGUGGGGCGAGGGGUGGGGCGGAGGUGGGCCGAGGGGUGGGGAAAGGGGCGAAUGUCUUUGGCAAUGGGGUUUUGGGGCUGGAGGUUGUGUUUUCAUUUCCACAGGCGCCCCUACACAGGUACGGGGGUUUAUGAGAGCCAAACCCAUAGUGCGCUGGGCUGCAUUGCAAGUACGGGGUGUGUGCCUGUGCCUGUUAGUGGGCUGGCGAGGAAGAUAGAGACUGCCGGAGGCUGCGGCUAAGUUAGCGCUAAGAAUCAAGCACACAGGGGAGCGAUGCUGUCAUGUCUGUAAUCUUCAUGCACAGUACUUAUCAACCUGAUGCCAACACGCACGCAGCAAGUCAUCCUCGCGUACCGGGCCGACCGCACCGUCGCCACCGAGGUAAGGAGCAGACCCUGCGCACUCUCGGGAGGAAUGCGCCUGCCUCAAGCUAACCGUCUAGCCCUCGUGUCGUCCAUGGGUAUCUGCCCGGUGGCUCCAAACCUGCCUCAGUUUACUCACCCUGUUCCAUGUCAUGCGUUGUUCCGACACCGCCAACCUGCACAGGACGACCCGCCUGUGGUGCUGGGGAAGCUGCCGGAGGCGUUUGCCACGACUGCGGGCGAGCGGCUGGGGUUGAAGCCUGGGCGGCUGCUGCGCUUCUCCAUCAAGCAGGUACGGCCUUGGUGGCCGACCCAUGUGAUGGCGCUCCCUGCGCAUGCAAGCACCGUGCCUUGGGUGCGCCGCAUCUACAGCCCGGCCAGGGGCACUCCUGCGCCCGGCUCAAUCUCCUCCCCGUUAUUUUCCUCCCCUGCAAUGCUGUACUGUGCCCAUCUUUUGUUCUGCACCCGUUCUUCCUGGAUCUCCAACGCUUUCCCGACAGGGUGGCAUCACCUUUCACGAGGGCCGGCCCUGCGGCGCCGACCUGCACUUUGAGGGCACAGUGCCGCAGCGCCGCGGCCGGGCGGAUAGCUUCUCCAAAAUCAUGUUCCAGCGCCUGGUGAGAGUCUGGCGGGCUGGGUGGGCAACGUGCACGCUAAGUGUUUGGCUGAGUAAAGGCAGGAUGCGGGACUGGUACGUGGCCUAAAGGAGCUUAUGUCCGCAGCCGUCUGCCGGCUGGCCGCCGCUCUUCAGCCACGAGGCUGCGCGACGCGUGGGCAGCGGCGUAUUUUGUGGCCCAAGUUGCAGCACACGCUAUAAUGCAGUGUGUCGCUGUGAUCACGACCGCGUACCACACUUGUCCUGCAGGCGCGGACUGCGCCGUUGUCCAUUUCUGACCUGGAGGGCGCCCUGCUGGCCUCGGCAUCCGCGGAGUGCGUGCUGGGUAUGGACUCCAUGUCAUAAAGGGUGGCACUCGCAGGCACUGGUAGGGGCUUCCAGGUUCUUGAGGUUGGUCGCAACCGUACAAGUGUGUGGUAAAUAUAGGUCGCAGCAAUACAAGAAUCUGCAGCUAAACUGCGUCGAUUGGCUGAGUGCUGAGGCAAGAGGCUGCGUGCUCUGGCGUGCUGCAACUGGUUUUUGGCACAUCCAACCGUGGCGGCAUGUGUAGUAGAGGGGGCAGGCAAGGCCACGUGGAGGAGGAGAGCGCGGCGCCGCCCGAGAAGCUGCGCCGGUGCGCAAGUUGAGACCUGCCGGUGUUUGGUCUGCGGUCUUUGCUGGCAAGCAAAGCGUGGCACGGUGGGGGGUUGGAUUUAUUGCUGUUUAGUUUGCGUGUGCUUAACAGCGGGACGCGGCUGGACACAUGGCGGGCGUGCCUGAUCAAACCGCCCCCCCGGCUAUAGGAGAAAGGUGGCGCGGGCAGGUAGCCGAUGUAACGAGGAACGGUAGCGGAACAGUCCGAGAUGAGGUAGACGCUUGCGGCCUCACACUGGAGACGCGGCGUGGGCUCAGCCCCUUUUCCCGUGCCCGGGGAACACUUGUCCCUUGCGGGAUUUGUCUGUCCCAUUUGUCCCGCCAUUUUGUCACCUCGCAGUCAGCUGCAGCUCGCUCCCUCCCUCCUCCCUCCUCCCUCCUCCCUCCUCCCUCCUCCCUCCUCCCUCCUCCCUCCUCCCUCCUCCCUCCUCCCUCCUCCCUCCUCCCUCCUCCCUCCUCCCUCCUCCCUCCUCCCUCCUCCCUCCUCCCUCCUCCCUCCUCCCUCCUCCCUCCUCCCUCCUCCCUCCUCCCUCCUCCCUCCUCCCUCCUCAGCUGCUGUUCGCGCAUCAUGCUAAGCGGCAAGAUCCCGUUGUGACGCUCCUGCCAUCUGGGUUGCGGGCUUGAGCACCAGGCCGGGCGCCCGCAAGCCCAACGGCAGCGCGUGGCGGGCGCCGGCGGCUAUGCGGCCUUUUGAGCUGGCUUCACGUAAGCACCAGCACAGCCUCCCGCCAAGAAUGCUCGGGAGGCAAGGCGGCAGCCAACUAGAACCCUAGCUGGACCGCUGACUCGCCAAACACCCAAUUAGCGCUGCUUCUGGGCCCAUUGCAUCAUUGCCGAGCGCUUGAGUCCCCCCAUCGCUCGCCAGCGUCCCACGGACCUGCACCGAGUCCGUGUUGGUGAUGUCCACGCGCUGAAAGCCCGCGUUGGACAGCUCAGGCCGCCUCUCGACUGCUGCCUUGAAUGAAUCAUCGCUGCGGCUGGCCACCGUCACCUUCAGGUUGGGGAAUUCCUUGAGCAGCGUGGCCGCAGUGGAUGAGCCCACGCGACCAGUGCCCCCUAUCACCACAACCGACUUAUCGGGCACAGGACCCGUCGCACAUACCACAUGCGCUGCGGCCCGGCGGGCGCAGGGCCGGGCGACGAGUUUGGCACCCUGGCAUCGUGCGCCUGUGGCUUGUGAGGUGUUGGCCACACGACGCAUGGUGUGAGACUGGGUCUAGAGUGCCGAUGCACGUGCACUCGCAUGCGCAAUUCAGUUCGAUGUUACCUUACCCCACUCAGGUCCGAAGUAUCCGAAUACAAUAUGCGUAACCCAGGCAGCCGCCCGCCCGUCCGCUUAUGCACGUGCACUCGCGUGCGCGCGGUUUGCAAAUGCAGUUGGAUGUUACCUUACCCUACUUGGGUCCGAGAUAUCCGAAUACAACAUGCGUAACCCAGGCAGCCGCCCGCCACAGCUGCAACCAGCCGACUUGAAACUACCGUGCAAGACAAGAAUGCCGCUGCGAUGUCCGAAACCAGGCUUCCACUCAGGUCAAUGUGCCUACGACUGCCAUCUUUGCCCAAAUACAUCUAAACCCGCCCGCCCACGCAGUCAUCUAGACCCGGAUUAAGGGGGCACCUUGCUAUGAAGCCUACGCGGCGUCAGUCAGACACAUGUCUAGCCCGCUCUUACCGUAACCCCAAAGCCCGCACCAAGUCCAGCCCGGCAGCUUCUCGAUAGCUACUCAGGCUGCCUUACCGGCCUCUACGGCUGUACGGCUCUACCAGUAGAUCAUGCCACCGAUCUGCUUGAUCUCACUCUCCAGAGCCCACGCCGACCUGUUCAGCUCGAAGCGGGAGCAGCCAGUGGCCGCGAACUGCAGGAAUUGCCGACGGUCCUGUGGAAGCAGGGCGAGCAUAACAUGCGGCCCAAAAAAUCAGUCCGCGGGGUGGCAAACCGACUCUGCACCGUCGUGCCUGCUGUCCAGGAACAAGAUCAGUGUGUGUGUGGCCUGACGGCACGAAAGCUGCCCAUGGUGCCCGUGAUGUAUUGUCCUGCGGGCGAGUCCCAAACCCGCCCGAGCCCAACCUGCCUGCCCCCUCGGGCCCCUCGCCCACCUGCAGCGCCUCCUUCUCCUCGGGGUACCACACGCCCGGCUGUGUCUUGCCCUGCAGCACCGACUGCGCGAAGGCGGCCGUGCUGUAGCCCAUGGACUGCGACAGGUACUUGUGCACGAAGAUGCCGCUGCUGUUCUUGCCGCCCACCAUGUCCACCUCCACACGCAUAGCCUUCAAGGGGUUCCGGGAGAAAGGAAAUUAAGAGAACCCAACCCCAACGUAUGCUGGGCUGCACUGCAUGUUCUUGAAGUAGGGGGAGAGGGCAGCGGCUUGCUCAUGCGGCUCGCAGCCCUAUUAAAGCUUGACAUUGCUGCACAGAUGCAGCCACAACAAGCGAUCCCUCCUACGGUAUUUCUCCGACUCCUUCCCUCACAUUUCUCUUCCCAGCCCCGUCGUGUGCGCAUGCCGCCGUGCUAACAACUGCGGCGCAGCUUCCUUUACAACAUCUUUUCCUUCCCUCGCACUGCACUGCUCACCACAGCCUCGCCGAUAAUCUUGUCCACGUUGCGGACGAAGGGGUCGGACAGCUUGGCGAAGCCCUUGACGAAGUUGCGGUCGUUCAGCAGGCUGCGCGGCACCAGGCGCGCCGUGAGCCACAUAGCCCAGUUCCAGAUGAAGGGGUCGGUGCCGAAGCGCGCCGACACGUCCGGCACGCGCAUGUACUUGUGGCCGCUGACCACCUCGGGCAGGUUGUACAGGUACACGCCCUUGCGGCCCACGCCUGGCGGGAGCGGGUCAAAUGGUGGGUAAAUGAUGGGUGGGUAAAUGAGUGGGCGAGGCAAGUGCUCUGUUGCACUGUGGAAAGGGCGCAUUCAUCGCAUACAUACUGGAGUACGUGGGCACGCCCCCUCAAUGAUGGCUAAUUAUGAGGUCACGAUAAACACUGCCCAGGGCGCUAUCCGCGUCAGGUGCCUCGGCAAAUGGACGCCUGCGCCGCCCCGCGACCUCGACACCGGCUCCCGGCGUGCACUCACCAGGCCCGAAGUCCACCUCUCUCCGGUUGCUGAUGGGCGGCAGCACCACCUCCUUGUUGUCCUUGUACACGAUCACGUCCUCACCGGCCAGCAGGAAGCUGGUCUCCAGAAUGGUGGGGCCGGCGCCGCCGCUGCCCGCCGUGUAGUAGCUGUAGCGCAGCCACUUGGGCUCCACACUCUCACCUGCAGGCAUUAACACCAGCGAGUCAGGACUAACCGGAACAGCUACGCAGUUGCCAUCUGCUGCCGUGGGAUCCUCGUCCGCAAUGCCUCAGCAUCACCGCUCAGUACUCCUGCAUAAGCAACGUGGGUGUGCCCUGUUCCUACACCCUCGACCGCGGCCUCAUCCUCAACCGCGGCCCCACCUGCCACCACGCCGUCAGUACCCACCUGGUGCGGGUGUGCGGUAGUUCCAGUUGUCAUCGUACUCGGCGCGGGCGAUGGAGAUGAUGUGCGCGGCCAUGACGUUGGAGGUGCCAGGGUAGAUGCCGCCCGACACGAUGGCGGGCACGCCCGCGGCCUUGGCCUUCUCCAUAUAGGCAGCCUUGGCACUGAGGGUGGCCGGGGGGGGGUUUGAAAGUGAAAAACAGUAUUUUGAUUGGGUAGAGUUGGCAAUGACAGUUGUUUUGGACGUAGUGCCUAGUGUCCGCUCCUGGACCCGGCCCCCCCACCAGACCUGGCGGCUUAGGCCGCUCCACAGUCCGCCGCUGCGACCCUCAACUGCAUCCCCCAUGGUAUUGCUGGGCUCUCACCCCUCGGCAAAGGGCGUGUCAUCGCACACGUCGAUGUAGCCAGUGCCGGAAGCAAUGGCCGCCUCCAGCACCGCAUAGUUCUUAGAGCGCUGGAAGGGGCCGGCGGUGUGGAUGACCAGGUCCGCGCCCGUGGACUUGAGCAGCGCCUAGUUGAGGAGUAGGAGCAGGGAGGUUGGGGGAUGAGCGGUUGGAGCGGAGCGGGUGGCGAGGCUUGGAGGAUGCAGAACCUGAAGUGGCCCGUGCAGUUGCAAGUACCGUGCGCUUGACCUAGAUGCCCCUGCUUGCAGCAGCACUCUCAGCGCAUUCGAGAGCUCUGGCUAACGGUAACUCAAUCUCGCACUUCCUCCCAAAUCCAGCCUAGCUUUGCAAGAUCCCAUUGUAACGCUCCUGCCAUCUGGGUUGCGGGCUUGAGCACCAGGCCGGGCGCCCGCAGGCCCAGCAGCAGAGCGGCGGGGGGCGCCGGCGGCUAUGCGGCCUUUUGAGCUGGCUUCACGUAAGCACCAGCACAGCCUCCCGCCAAAAAUGCUCGGGAGGCAAGGCGGCAGCCAACUAGAACCAUAGCUGGACCGCUGACUCGCCAAACACCCAAUUAGCGCUGCUUCAGGGCCCAUGGCAUCAAAGCCGAGCCCCAGACCCACGGACCUGCACCGAGUCAGCGUUGGUGAUGUCCACGCGCUGAAAGCCCGCUUUGGAUAGCUCAGGCCGCCUCUCGACUGCUGCCUUGAAUGAAUCAUCGCUGCGGCUGGCCACCGUCACCUUCAGGUUGGGGAAUUCCUUGAGCAGAGUGGCCGCAGUGGAUGAGCCCACGCGACCAGUGCCUCCUAUCACCACAACCGACUUAUCGGGCACAGGACCCGUCGCACAUAUCACAUGCACUGCGGCCCGGCGGGCGCAGGGCCGGGCGACGAGUUUGGCACCCUGGCAUCGUGCGCCUGUGGCUCGCGAGGUGUUGGCCACACGACGCAUGGUGUGAGACUGGAUCUAGAAGAAAAGCCAACGACUAAAUACAGUACAAGAACAAAACGAUGACUGCAGAAUUAGAAAAAGAGGAAUGGCUUUAAUGCGAUCGCUAGUCCCAAUUCUGCGAGGCGAAGGUGAAUUGUUUAACUGAUUGAACCUUAUCAGCACCAUACACCGUAGUAUAAUAGCCGAACUGUAGCGUUGUUCGAAAUGCCCUGACCGGCGUCGGCCUUGCUGUUUACAUUUCGCCCAGGCGCGCACCGAAAUGCCACCGCGACUCUGCGUGAGGUGCAACACCUCUCGGGCUAUGCUGAAUCGCCCGAAAACCCAGGAGCAGGCGAGUUUCGGGGCCCGCCGGGGCUUCCUUGGGGCUGCGCAGCAGCGCACACGCCCACACCCGACCGGUCGGGCCCAACCCCCGACUUUGCACCGCGCAGGUCUGUCGGGAAUGCUUCUUCACGGCCUUUGAGGAGGAAGUACAUCAGACUAUUGUUGACAACAAGCUCUUCAAGCAUGGCGAGCGGCUUGCAGUUGCUGCCUCAGGCGGCAAGGACUCCACCGUGCUGGCCCAUAUUAUGAGCACGCUCAACGCGCGAUACAAGUGAGCAGGGAGGGCCACACGAAAGAGGCGUAUUAACGUAGCAGUAGUUUUGGGUAGUCUGGUAUGAUCUUUUGGGCGUUUGGCACGGCCAAGGCGCAGUUUGCGCUGGGCGACUACUCAGUGUGUGGGACUUUGCCGGUCUCAGUGUGGUGACCACGCCCGACCAAUUUGUGACCACAGCUACGGAUUGGACCUAUUCCUACUGUCCAUUGACGAGGGCAUCACCGGGUAUCGGGAUGACUCGCUGGAGACGGUCAAGCGCAACGAGCAGCAGUACGGCAUUCCGCUCAAGGUGAGUGAGGGCACGGACCUUGCGGUGCCGGAGAAAUUUCUUGGGCCAGCGGAAGGUGCUGAACUCGCAACAGCUGUUGCGUGCGGGCUCGCGUGUGGUGUAUAUUGUUCCAGUAAACCCAUGCAGCAUUUGCAGUACUCGAAUGCUGGUUGAGUUGGUCAAGCUCACUCAGCUCUUGACAUGCAGGUGGUGUCGUACAAGGAGCUUUACGGCUGGACUAUGGACGAGAUUGUGUCGCAGAUCGGCACUAAGAACAACUGCACCUUCUGCGGCGUCUUCCGGCGGCAGGUGCGUGCAGUGCCGCAAUAUCCAAUGCUUGCCACGGUCAACUGAGGCUAUUGGAUGCCUGCAUAAUGUUCUUGUCCAGAACUGCCCAGACACUGACAUUCAACUCCACUGCCGGUGCCCCCAACGCAACCCUCUUGGUGGCCAGGCGUUGGACCGCGGCGCGGUGCUGAUGGGUGCCAACAAGAUCGCCACCGGCCACAACGCUGAUGACGUGGCCGAGACCGUGCUGCUCAACAUCUUGCGAGGGGACGUGCCCCGGUAGGCCGCGGGAGCCUACAUGGCGUUACGCUGGAAGGUGGCACUGUCCGCUUAACUUCCUGUAUGGCGAUGGAAGCCCGCCUGUAACUGACUGACGCCCAGAACCUUCACUCCUUUCCUUCAUGCGCUUGCCUGAUGUGGCUCAGGCUGGGCCGCUGCGCCAACAUCAUCACAGGCGAGGACAGCUCGCUGCCGCGCGUGAAGCCGUUCAAGUACGCGUACGAGAAGGAGAUUGUGCUGUAUGCCUACUACAAGAAGUUGGACUACUUCAGCACUGAGUGCAUCUAUGCGCCCUUCGCAGCGCGCGGCUUCGCACGCGAGUUCAUCAAGGACCUGGAGGUGAGGGGGCCAAUCACAUGGUCACAUGGUGCCACUAGAAGGCGCAUGCAGCAAGGUUGCAGGGUUGGCAAUUGUUUGGCACUGUCACGUGUGGUGACUGCGUGUGCACACAAGCUUUGCGUGAAGCUCACGGGACUGAGCCAUACCUGCGUGUCGCGCAAUCCCUCUUGCGGGCAGGCUGCGAGGCCGCUGGCAAUUAUCGACGUGAUUCGCUCUGCCGAGGACUUCGUGUUCGCAGCGGCCUCGGAUGAGAAGCUACCGCAGCCGCGCACCUGCGAGCGCUGUGGCUACAUAUCCAGCCAGCCCGUGUGCAAGGCGUGUGUGCUGCUGGAGGGCCUCAACCGGGGCAUGCCGCGCCUAGGCGUCAGCCGCACUCGUGGGCGGCGUGGCGAGAAGGCGGGGCUACACCCGGACGUCGGCCGAGGCGGUGGCGGUGGUAGCUCGGGGCCUGCUGAGGUGGCAAGUGAGAGCGCGGAAGCCGCCAGCACAAUGCCGGCAGAACGGCAGGGAGGAGGGGUGGCACAGGCGCCAGCAGGCGGGGAGGGUGGUGCUGCGCCAACGACAGCGGGUUGUGCGGACGACGGGUUGCCGCGGUUCGAGGCUUGGGCUAGCGGCGCUGCGGGCGCUGGGGGCCAGACGGCAGCUGAGAAGGUGGCAAGGGCCGCUGUGCGCCAGAGAGGCCCUGUAGAGAUCGUGUACGAGACCACAUAGAACCCUAGAUAGUUGUUUGGCCCCGGCCGCACGGUAUAAGCGCUAACUGACAUGUAGUUGCAGAAGGCUGACAGGGUGCGGUUAGGUAAUCAGGGCGGAUCUUCAUCAGUUUACAGUUACUACGGCACACGCUGUUUGGUAAAGCACUCACUGCUAUGACUGCUAGACAGAGCACACAGGCGGCCGGUUGGACGGAUAUGGCGCGCCGGGAUAGGCAUGCGGUUUGGAGGUAGAGACCUUUGCAGAUGCCCCGCGGCAGGGCUUGCAACCGUGGCGGUGACUGCUGCAUAGGUAACCGAAGAUGCUUAAAGAACCCCAUGCGCACGGUGUCGGAAGAGGGCAUCGUAGCUAGCGUAGGUUGGCCAAUAUUGGCGCAUGCGGUAGGGGCAUCUGCGGGGAAAGCCGCGCAUGACGGCAUGAGGAUAGGCAGGCACGCGGUCCCCGGGUCCCGCAGAGGUGCCGAUGGCCGUGUGCUGUGUGUACUGGUAUGGUGCCGCUUCGGCGUCCAUUACUAAGACCGGACCUUACAGUGCCCUUCACGGGUGCGGCAUGCCCCCAUGGCGUACCGGUAUUAGGGCGAUCCGUGGCUCUCGCCUACGCGGUGUUCCCACACGCCGAAGCAAUGUGUUGAGUUUGCGCCUAGAACAGACGACCACUUAGGAGUCAGGACGGUGUAUUGGGGCUCGCGCUGAGACAGGAUCAACCCAUCUAGCUCCCUACGUCAACGGACCUAGGCCGGACGGCUGGGGAGGACGGCAUUCACCUGUCCUCCAUAAUCUGCACACACAACGCUGCAGCACACACACUCCCAAUCAAUCGGUAUCGCUAUCCAGGCAAUGCCAUCAAUCCGGGUCAGUCCAGAGACGGCCUGUUCAGCGGUGGCCAUGGCGGUGACAAGCGGUGAUGAGGCAGUAUGUUUGCUGCAGCACAAAGGUCGGCCAGACCGUUCUGAAGCCGGGGCAGACGAUGAUGGCAUGAGCUCGAUACUAGCUUACAUACACCAGCGCAUCACACCGGCGACGCCAUGUGAAGCACAUGCUGCCGUUACCUGUCUGCAUGAACUUGAAGCCUCGAUUGUACAUCGUGAUUGUACAUCUACACCAUGGAAUCCUUACGGCACUAUUUAGCCGCACGGAAGCCAUGCAUUCCUUCCAUGUCCAUAUGGAUUACCAUUGCCCUACCCCGAGCGGAUUGAGGUAAUGGUAGUGUUAGCACGCCCUCAGUAACUGUCAAAUAGUCAAGUCAUCAUCAUACGACCGUUCCGGGGCGACGCUAGCUCGGACCCCACCUGAUGCACCUUGCGCACACGCGCCCUGCGGUAUUCUGCCCCUGAACCCUUGACGCGCCAUCAGUACAGCACACGCCCACAAAACCAGCAUCACUUCGCACCCUCACACUCCACAACGUCACACGCGCACGCCACAUCAACUCUGCCACCUCCCCAUCACCGCCGCGUCGGUGACCCACGCUUCCCGCCUGUCGCGUCUGCCCCCGCUGGCCGGACCUUAAUGGCCGUCUCCAGCUUCCGCGGCAGCGUCCGUUGCACCUUGCUCUCCAGAUGCUCACGCGUCAGCGGGCGGUCCUCUUCCACCGGCUCCGGUUCCAGCCCCUCCACCUCCUCCUCCUGCGUAGUGCUGGGCGGCUCGAUGAUGAUGCGGUUGCCCGGCUGCGUCAGUGGCUGCGCCAGCAGCGCCUCCGCAAGGCCGUCAGUGCCCUGCUGCGCUUUCCGCUUGGCGUAAAUCUGCAGGCACAGCAAGAAUGAGCAAACCGUGUAAGCAUCAUGACGGGCACCUGCUCUACGCCUGGUGUGCACCGCCUUCCCUUGCGCGAUGGAUACCUAGGACGGACUGAAGUGCAUCCAGUCAUACAUCGCCUACGGACCCCAUCAUUGCACUCCUCUCUUUCACGACCAUGGCCUGGCGCCCACCUGCAGAAUCUCGUUUGUCCGCUGCUCGAUGAUGCCCAGGUACGCCGUCAGGUUGGCCUCGGUCACGCCCUCCUCGCCCAGCAGGUCGCGCACUGCCGGCGUGUUGCAGCCGAUGCGUUCAAACAGGUCAUUGAUGCCCGCCUUAAGCGCCGUGGUCAUGGACAAAGCCGAAUCCGUGCGCUUCUCGUACAGCUGCGACUGCGCCUCCGACGCUGCGAGCCGCGCCUCCUCCUCCGUUAGCUCGCGGGACUUGGUCAUGUCCAACUCGCGCCCGGUCUCCCUGUAGUGUGCGGGAGUUGAGCACAGUAAACACGGGUGAUGCGUUAGACCAUGUGCGCUGACGUAUGAAUGCGGAUGUUACAAAGGGGACAGUCCCAGCACCCGAAGACGCCGAGCCAUCACAUGCUAUCUUGAGUCCACCAACCCCGACUUUGCUGCAAACCCUCCCGCGGUCAAAGUCCGUGUGACUCCGCGCACAGUGAGUCCUAGCCAAGCCUCAACCCGCCAGAGCCCCACCGCUGUGCCUCAACGCCACAAGCCUAGGCAUAGGAGUGCCGGGAAACGUCUAGGCACGCUGACGUAUGACGUAUGACGUAUGACGCUGCUGAGACACUUGCCUAGAGAGGCAUGCGCGUGCGCAGUGCUUGAGCCCCCCCGUGCCAAACCCCGGCCCCAGCUUCAUGACACACCUGUACUUGUUAAUCUCCCCACGCAUGAUAUUGAUCUGGUCCUCCAGCUUCUCAAUUUCCUGGUUGACCUCGUUGACGUAGUUAAACAGCGUGUAGUUCUGGUCCUCAGCCGCCAGGAAGGUGUUGACCAGCUGGUCGAUGUCCUCAAUACCUGUGGCAUCCUGCAUGGAUGAAGGGCCAAAUUGACCGUGAGCCGACGGCAAACUCGCCACCAGCAGGCGCGAUUUCGUUGCAGCUCACGCCAGCUGGCUACCACUAGACCAGCGGCAUGUGCUGUAGCGUGGCACAUCAAAACCCCUUCAUCCCCUCGCAGCCCAGCACGCGUCGGUCCUUCUCAUCUGUCGCGGCUCACCUGGAUCCGCUUGAAGGCCUGGCCGUACAUCUCCACCUUCUCGGCCGCUACGUUCUGCGCCAUCGCCUUGUUGUACCCAACGUUCCACGAGCCUUUCGUGAUGCGCUUCUUCUUCUCUGCUGAGGACAGAGUUCCCAUCUUGAGGAGCUCCUGCGUCUCACGCUCGCGCAUUGCCAGCUCUUGUGCGCGGGCGCGUUCCUAUGGCACAUCAGUGGUUCGCAACGGUAGGCACAGUCAAUGGUGCGCGAAGUGGGAUGUGCCGCAGUUAUGCGUCAGUUUGCGUGUGCGAAUUGCAUCUGCCCGCAAGAGUGUGUGGGCAGGAAGGCAAGGGCAUAUGAGCAGUCAUCCAAGUACGCCAUGCCUUCGCCCCAAGUUGAUGCACCUCAGCACUCUGUACAAAUGUGUAGGUGCGCUGCGGCCCCAGCUACUACGCACCCGCUCCUUCUUGUCCUCCUCAAUGAUGGUUGUGAGCUGUCGCCAUUCCUCCUCGAAGCCCUGCUGCUCCUUGUCCGCCUGCGCCUUCAGGGCGUUCAUCUCCCCAAUGGCCUUCUCUCGCGCCUCAAAUGCUCCAUUGGCCUGCUGAAUCAUGUCCGCCAUGUCCCGCUUCAGCUUCGCCAGCUCCCGCUCCAGGUUGCUCUGGAUGCUCUCAAACAUGAUGCGCUCCCGCCGGAGGUUAUUUAUAGACUCCCGCAGCUGCUUGUUGUGCGUAAUGGACUGGUUGUACUUCACGUACGCCUUCUCGAGCCGGUUCUCCAGCAGCUUAAUGCGCUUCUGCACCGCGGUUGACUGCUCCUUGGCGGAGAAGAUGCCGCCCAUGUUGUUCCGGGUGGUGGUUAGCGUGCUGCCCAUUUCCGACAGCUGCUGGUCCAGCAUCUUUGUCUUGCGCAUCUCCAACACAAUCUGCAAAUAAGCGCGCGGUUUCAGCGCUGGCACACGAUGACACGCGGGGCGCGCGGUGCAUGUCAACCCACCUUGCGGGCAAGCAUGUCGCCCUCAUCCUGCAACCGGUUGAUGAGGGCUUGUGCAAACGGGUCACCAGGCCGAACGCUGAACUUAUUUUCCAGCAGCAACUCCGUCUUGAGCUGCUCGUUCUGAGCUCGCAGCUUUUCGAUAGCCGCUCUGCAUACAUUAUUUGCAAGCAUCAAGCCAGAUGUUUAAAGCAAAAGUAGCACCUGACACCUUACCUUUGCUUGUCCAGCACGGACUUGUGCCCAAGCGUGUCGCCUGCGCCCAGCGUCCCCUUUCCCAUCGAGCCCGCUGAGCCACCGCCACGAGCUGCAAGUAUGGUACGCACGCAAAGGUUUAGCUGGGAUGGCUUGGACAUCCAGAGCAGGGCUCCCCGCGACAUCGAAAUACUGUCGACUCACUGGCGUCUGCAGACGGCAUCCUUUAUGUCACUUGCUUAUAAUGCUUAAAAAGGUAAACGUCCUGGCUAAGGCAAAAUAGCUAAACGUGUGCUCUAAGCGGCCGCUGGUGAAAACUGGCUCACUGGGCCGUGUUCAUAUCUUGGUAUCAGCAGGUACUUCAAGGAAUUAAGAGAGUUGAUAAAGGACCGAAUGUGUAUGGCCAUCGAAGAAGACCGGGACCGCCGCGAAUGGGGCCCCAUCGUUUCUUUGCUCCGGAGUGCUCGUUUUUGCAGGCAUCAGGUGCAACCUCCUGGCAAGUGAAUUUGGUUUUUGUUUCUGACUAAUACUUGACGAUAGGCAUAACAAGACAAUCAACGGUGAGGCCGUCUCUGAGCCCAGCGCACUGACACGCCCUAGCGGUUGAUAAUUAGUUACGCUCAGUCUUCUCGACAUAUCAGCUCUUCAUUCGUGUCCUGUAGUCAACGCCACAAGGAACACGGGCCAGACUCCGGUCGGAGUACUUUUGCAAGCCGGAAGCCAAACCAAAGCUUCGCCUGCUUGCCAUUUUACCUGGCGUUCAUAAAAGCCUACUAAGGCCUGGCUCGAUAUCGGCGAGCAGCGUUGACUUGGGCCCGGCAGUCUCUCGUUGAGACUCGCUCGGCCGUUGCUUGCGUCCAAGAAGGCGGACGCCCGCGUGCUGGCCUUUACUUAUCAUUUUAGCUCAGCAGCCGUAGCAAGCAGUCGCUGAUAUGAAGGGAGAAGGGCAGACGGACAAGGACAAAGCAGCGGACGUCGCAAAGGAGGGUGCUGCCAAGGAGGAGGAGGCCAGCACUGCGCCGCUGCCAGACAAGGCAAGAUAUUGUGCCGCCGCAGCUCCACCCGGGCUCAGCCGCAUGCAGGCAGGCUGGCGCUCACCAGCUCUCGUAAUUUGGCGUCGCAGGUGCUUGUUGGGGGCUCCCCGGAGUAUUAUGUGGAGCGCAAGCUGGGCAAGGGCGGCUUCGGCCAGGUCUAUGUCGGCCGCAGAGUGUCGUCAACAAAGCAAAAGGACGGCCCCCAGGCGAACCAGGUCAGCAAGAUUGUUUGAACCCUGGUUUUGCUAGUCCACGAAACUAAUCAGCUCUUUGCGCGCAGGUGGCUUUAAAAUUUGAGCACCGCAGCAGUAAAGGCUGCAACUAUGGGCCCCCCUACGAGUGGUCCGUGUACAAGUAGGUGUCAACAAGCAGCCGGUUUUUUUCGCUGAACGGUCGAGCGUACGUAGCCCUUUGUGACCUCAAUUACUUCCUUGUGCUUGUAGCUCGCUCGGCGGGGUGCACGGCAUCCCUAAAGUGCACUACAAGGGGCGGCAAGGAGACUAUUACAUCAUGGUAAGUGCCCGGCAGGCCUGCCGGGUGUUUCGGCCAGGGCGAGCGCUCCCAAGUUUCGGGAAUGAAAGUUUACAUAUGGGGGCUUGAGUUUACAGGCGACAGCGUACAGCCUCGUGCUUAGGCUCUGGGGUUGGCACUGUCCCAGCGGGACCCGUAGCCGACUAACUCCGCCACGCAACUUGAUGGCGCAGGUCAUGGACAUGCUGGGGCCCAGCCUGUGGGACGUCUGGAACUCGUCGGGCCAGGUUAUGUCUCAGGAGAUGGUGGCGUGCAUCGCCGUGGAGGCGCUGUCCAUUCUGAAGGAGCUGCACGCAAAGGGGUGGGUAUUUGAGGCGUGUACGAAUCUGGGCAGUGGCGACGUGGACCAAGUCCAACAACUUGCACCGCACCCUACUUCUCUGCAGUAGUUGUAGCUUGACAUAUCGCAGAAACGUUGGUCCUCUGCGCUUUGCGAUGUAAUGUUUGUGCAACGUUACAGGUACGUGCAUGGUGACGUGAAGCCGGAGAACUUCCUGCUGGGGCAGCCCGGCACGCCAAACGAGAAGAAGCUGUACCUGGUGGACCUGGGCCUGGGUAAGAAGGGUGGCACCUGGACGCAGGAUGUUUAGCGGGGAGAGGGAGGAGAGCCGCAGAGGCGAAGGAGGGCAAGGCGGAGGGGGAGGGGAGGUGGUGGUCGUUACAUCGCAACUCCGCGUGUUCGAGCUGUCACGUUGACGCAGUAACCAAGUUCAUUAUUGUUCACAGCAACACGAUGGAAGGACGCCGUGUGCGGAACACACGUGGAGUACGACCAGCGGCCAGACGUGUUCAGGUUCGUGUCUGUUGGCGGGAAUUGAAACGGAGGUGAAGGAUCUCCGCCGAAACGUUGGGUGCGUCUGAUGGGCCGACUUGAAAGCCAGUCGGAAGCAGGGAACUGAAGUUCGUGCGUAUCACCCGUGUGGCUGCAGGGGGACAGUGCGUUACGCUAGCGUGCACGCGCACUUAGGGCGGACAGCCAGCCGGCGUGACGACCUGGAGUCGCUGGCGUACACGUUGCUGUUCCUGCUCAAGGGCCGGUUGCCGUGGCAGGGCUACCAGGUGGGUUCACUUCAGAUGGAGCGAAGUGGAUGCGCAGCCACAUGUGUGGGUUUGCAACAGCAUAGCCCGUGGUCCUAGUGCCUGACGAACGACUGUGUGUACGUGGCGUCGGGGACAGGGUGACAACAAGGGCUACCUGGUGUGCAAGAAGAAGAUGGCCACGUCCGCGGAGAUGCUUUGUCGGUACACGCCGCCGGCAUUCCGCCAGGUGCGUCGUACGCUGUUGUUGUUGAGGCCGUCAGUUUUAGAGCAGUUUCUGCAUAUCACGCUGCCCCGUAUGGUCCUGGCAAACGCACCCAACGACCUGGAUGCGGGCUGUGUCUUGCCUCGGUGCAGUUCACGGAGGCGGUGGUGAACCUGAAGUUUGAUGAGGAGCCCAAGUACGAGGCGUACAUGAAGCUGUUUGAGCCGCUGUGCGGCCCGGCACCGUCACGGCCGAUUCUGGUGGAGGGCGGGGCCAAGGUUAGUCCACUGGUUCGGGCGAGCGCUUCCACUUAACUGCUUACUGCCUGGUGAUCAACGUAUGUUAAGAACUUGCUUGCUGGCUGUGAUUGUCGCUCUCGUCACUUGUUGGCUCGCGCAUCGGGGUUUGCUUCAUAGGUCGGCCAGAAGCGCCAGCGCGAUGCGGACGAGCAGCUGGAGGACGCGGGGCCGAAAAAGAAGGUCCGCCUAGGCCUGCCGGCAACGCAAUGGAUCACAGUCUACAACGCGCACCGGCCAAUGAAGCAGCGGUGGGUGCCUGGCUCGGGAACCUGGCGAAGCGCGGGUCGUACACGUGCAGCUUGUUGUCGAUCGUUUUUACCCGAGGCUGUCGGACGCAGCGCCAUCAUGUAUUCAUCAUUGUUCUGUCCCCAACCCGCAGGUAUCACUACAACGUGGCCAACACGCGCGUGGAGCAGCACGUGGAGAAGGGCAACGACGACGGGUUGUACAUCUCGUCCGUGGCGUGCUGCCAGGAGCUGUGGGCACUCAUCAUGGACGCCGGCACCGGCUUCACGGCACAGGUGUACAACCUGAGCCAGCACUUCCUGCCCAAGGAGUGGAUCAUGGAGAAGUGGGAAGAGGGCUACUACAUCACCGCGAUGGCGGGCUCCAUGUCGGGCAGCAGCCUGGUGGUCAUGUCAAAGGGGACGCCCUACACGCAGCAGUCGUACAAGGUCAGCGACUCCUUCCCCUUCAAGUGGAUCAACAAGAAGUGGAAGGAGGGCUUUUACGUCACUUCCAUGGCCACGUCACACACGCGGUGAGUGCGCCAUAGCUGCUGAGCGAAAUGUUGCAGUACCGUAUUGAGCUAUCGUAUGCUUUGCUUGUGCUGGAACCUGCUCAUGACUUUGUUUUGUCACGCCUGUUCGGUCACGAAGUCUUUUGCCCUUCCCUCACCUUACCACAGGUGGGCUGUGGUGAUGUCGCGCAACGCCGGCUUCGCUGACCAGUGCGUGGAGCUCGACUUCCAGUAUCCGUCGGAGGGCAUCCACCGCCGAUGGGACGCCGGCUUCCGCAUCACCGCCUGCGCCGCGACACCGGACCAGUCAGCGUUCGUGCUCAGCGUGCCGCGCCGGCGGCCAAUGGAUGAGACGCAGGAGACGCUGCGCACGUCAGCAUUCCCAAGCUCGCACGUGAAGGAGAAGUGGGCGAAGAACCUGUACAUCGCGGGCAUUGCCUACGGCCGCACGGUCAGCUAGACGGCUGAGCUGUCAGUCCAGGAGCCUGCUGUUUGUCAGUGUGGCCUCAUGUUAUUCCUUGAAAUGCGCGGGCCGCCUUGCGGUUGAGAUGGCGAAUAAUGACGAUCUCUUACUCUUAGACAAAGACAGACAUGUGGGGUAUGUUUGGUUUCCAUUGUGCACCGACUUUUGGGGCUGUGUUAGCCCACUGACUGAUGACGCAGCGGGACUAUACGUGGGGCUGCGUCAAGCCCUUCACUGUGACUGGCAUCCACGAGUGCCUCACAUUGGGCAACUUAAAAGCGCCUGACCGUGUGUUACAGAACAGUCUGGCAAACCCUAAACAAAAGUGACGUCCCGGUAACGCCGGCGACCGGACAUGGUCAUUGCGACGUUGUGAGGGGAAGUGUUGAUGAUGGGCAUCGUUUCAUGUAGAGGAGUGUAUUGGUGGGUGUGAGCCAAGUGGGAGAGGGAAAGUGUUCAGGUACGUGUGUCUGAGACGGGGAAGACGGAGAGCAACAGGAGCAGAAUGAUACAAAUAGCCGGCACAGAGGGAACGUGCCAGAGCUGUGCAAGUGUGCCAGUGAGUAAUGCAGAUACAGUAUGAGGUAAAUUGGUACCUACUGCUUCAGUGCCUCUGGUGCCACCCUUGUCGCGAAGGCCCAUACCUGUGCAUCAGUUUCUCCGCACUCCAAACAUCAGCCGCGCCAUUCCCAAUUCCAACCCGCGGCGCUUCCUCACACUCCGGUUGUGUUUGUCUCGCACUCGCAAUCGACUCGCCCGCCACUCAUCCGAACACUCGGGCUCCCUUUUUGGGCUGAGCCCCCUGAGCGAAGCGAUCCAGGGGGGGCGAAGCCCCCCAGGAUUGCCCCUGUCCGUGCGUGCGUGCGUGUGUGCCUGUGUCGACAAAAAGUACCAUACUGGCACAAACCGCGAGUGCCACGUAUUAUUAAUUGCAAUUACCUAUUGUAGAAAAAUAGACGGCAGGGAAAACUCGGCCGGAGCGAGAAGCGACCUCGUGAGUCCAUGGACAUCUUGACUUUCUUCAGUUCGCGAGUAUAGCUCUCGGCCCCUAAAUAUCUUACAUCCAUGUAUCAAAACAUGUCGACGAACGCUUUGGGGCAAGAAUGUCGAAAUUGUUUGCAACAGCCAAACCAUGCGUCCCCGAGCCUUACAUGUGUCGCGGCCCGGGAUCCCGCGCCCGAGCCCGGCUAGCCGUUUGCGGUGCUUGAGUGGGAUGUGGGUGAGGUGCAUUUGGGAUAUCAUGGACCGUGAAGUGGCGUGGGUAAGGUGGCGUGGCGUGGCGGGGACAGGGCAUGUCGGUGCCUCGGCACGGCGUUGGCAUAGUGGCCAGUCCCGCUGGAUGGGCUUGCAAGGGUGCUGUUCAUGUCGCCGGUGCCCAUCGUCACAUCCCCUUGCGCUACAUGGGGCUCAGCCCAUUUUCCAGCUGUACAAAGCUGACACCCCUUGUCUGCCUUGCCUCGCCCUGUUUCUGCCCCUGCUUGUCAUACUGUCGCCCAGCCAUUGCUAUGCUGCAUUCUGUCUGCAAUUUCUCUGCGUUUGCGUCUGGUGCUCAUCCGUAAACGCUGGUCACCUUCCUGCAGGUGCGCUGCGACUCUGCUUCGCGAGCGUGGCUUAAGGGCUUGCAUCGUCGGGGAGCGGCAAGAAGCGGGCCCCAAUGCAGGCCCUCGGGCUAGAAAGAUUGGGCACCUCCGGGGGUGCAUUCUCGCCGCGUGGGGCUGCAUACGGUCUCCAAAUCUCGCCAACUCCCCCUUCCCAGGGGGGUUUGGGGGGGCGGAGCCCCCCCCCCCACCCCCAACGCUAAAAAUUAGGCGUUUUGGGGCCCAGUGCUCGUAUCUUAAGGAGGCAGGUGCGGCGCCAGUGACAGAUUUCCGGAAAAUGGCAUCUUUAAUUUUCAGAAACCCGCUGCCGCCGCAUCUUUCAUCCCCAGAAUUUUUCCGGGGGCUCCGCCCCCGACCUAUGCACGGUUCGUGUCAGGCCAGGGGAGUGGCCAGAGGCAUGCCAUGGCUGGUACUGAGCAUCCUGUGUAAUGCCAAACAAGGUUGUCCUAUUGCAGCGUGCCAAAUGCGGCUGCAGUUGCCCCCAGCCCACGUUUCGGCUCCGGCACAGCAAAAUAUUCCGCCGCACCGGAUGUGCCCCUGUCACAGCAUGCGGGGUGAGGUUGCUGUUGCCCCCAUCCCACGUUCCGGCUCUGGCACAGCAAAAUAUUCCGCCGCACCGCAUGUGCCGCUGUCACAGCAUGCGGGGUGAGGUUGCUGUUGCCCCCAGCCCACAUUUCGGCUCCGGCACAGCAAAGUAUUCCGCCGCACGGGAUGUGCCGCUGUUACAGCGUGCGUGCGGCGUGAGGUUGCUGUUACCACGUAAUCACUAUGUUGCUGACUUCGGCUGUUCGGCACCGGCUCCAUGGCUCCAUGGCAAAUCGUGGCCCAUCCCCACGCCAAACCCCAGCGCCCACACCCACGCUCAUCAUCCUCGCUCACCUACGGCAUGACUCCCCUGGCAGAAGGCUGGCCUAUCGUGGUGUGCCCACAUGGGUGCCAGCAGGACACGGCCGUAGAUAGAGUUUCCUGGGGAACCUUAGUCACCCUUGCCUUGGGCCCGGACAAGUUACAGAAACGCCCUAAAAUGUCUUCUGCGAAUCUCAGAAAGACCCCUCCAAACCUGAAAAUUUCUUCCGCCGGAGGCGUUUUGGGGCAAAUUUCUGUCGAAAAGGAAGAUACGAGCACUGUUGGGGCCCCUGGAUGCUGUGGGCGAGAACGUGGUGAGGGCCCUUCUCGCCUGCGGCGGCGGCCCACCCCUGGAAGAUGCAAGCCCUGGUGGCGUUGCGGUGUGUCUGUGUGGUGCUGUCGCCUGGCCGGGCGCCCGGACCGUGAGGAAUGUGCGUCAGCAAACUUCCGUACAGCCAGCAACUUGUCGGUACAGUAACUCCGGCGUUCGACCAGUCGCGCGCUCAUGCACCGCCGUCAAAUUGUUUGCCAUCUGCUGCACCCCACGGGACUUCACCAACCUGCCUUAAGACUGUCCCAUCGCACACCUAACUCGUCGGGCUGGGCAAAUUGCGGGAAUUAUGGGGUGAUCCAGAGGCCGUUAUUAUGCUGAAAUGGGGUUGGGGGAACUUGCGCGGCCGAAGGCCGCGCAAAUUGCGCAGAAGUUAGGCGCGUACCCAGCGAGUACGAGUACCCACCUUGCUGCCCCUGUCGCCCCACGCCCAGCUUGGGUCAAUUAUGCAGUGGAUAGGAGCGGUGGCCCACGAUACAGCAGCCACUGCAGCUCAUAAUUUAAUUUAUUAUUUACGCAGUGCGUAGACAGGGGGCAGGGGAGCGAGGGCGAGGGCAAGGGGUCCAGCGGCGUGGUGUGGCGGCGACCAGCAGCCACCUUUACCACGCUGCAGGAGAUGUAUCUGUCCGGCCCAACACUGCUAUCCUUGCCCGGUAGGGCCACACAUGAGUGUCCGAGGCAGAGGAGGUGUAGCGCCCACGCCCAGCAAGUAGAAGCAUGGCAGGCCGGGCUACCUGACCGCGUGUCGUGCCCACGGCUGCCCCCAGCAGUUGUGACCCCGGCGGAGCACGCCGUGCCCUCCUUACCAACGUCAAAAAUCAAGCGUUUUGUGCCAGGGAUUUCCAAAAUUUUUCCCGGGGGCUACGCCCCCGGAACCCCCCAUAGUUAAUGGAAAACAACACAGCAGUAUUAACAUCAGUGUUUCGUGCCGCGAGCACUUGAAAACGAUACCACAUUGGCAAUAAUUCAAUAGUGCGCUGCCGAUCCAUAGAGCGAAGCCUUGUCGGCGAAGAACGCAACUUGGCAAAUUUGUGCAGCCGCGCAUUCCACGGCUUUCAGCCCCAGAUACCGCCUACUACCAUCUCUAUAUUGACUCCUAAGUUUGCUGCAACCUUGCUUGGGGUCAUUAGAGCGCUACAAAGGGAUUUGACGGUCGUGCUGGCCGAACUUGUGCCGCGGACAGGCUCUAACACUGACAACAAGUAAAGAAGCGUCCGGUCGCAUAAAUGUAAUUAUGCUGGGCGUCCAAGACAGCCUAACAAAGUUGCGCACUAAUUCCCGAAUUAGCGCAAAUUGCCAUAGUCGCGAAUUCACCCAUGCCAUGGCCCCUACCCCGGGCGUGGGCAAAUUGGCGUGCCCCUACCCCGGCGUGAGCCGUUCAUCGACCCUGAUAUAUGCUGGAUAACCCAACCGUGUUCCAAACGUGCAUCUUAACACACGUUCGCUGGCUACGUGCGUCCAACCAAUAUUUGGCUAGCAGACAGUGGCGCACCCCGACACAAUGCAAGCCACUAGCUCGGAAUGUGCCUAAUUGCCCGCCUACCCCAAUUUGGCCCACUUGCCCGUGCGGCUGGCCCGCACGGAUUCAGAGCCUGCCUGAUUUAAUAUUGCAUGGUUAUAUUAUAUAAGGAUUAUCCAAGGACUGGGAGGCCAGUAAGAGGCCGAUUCCCGAGCAGUCCCCGAAAACGGCCCUGUGCGCCCGCCCGAUUAUUUGGCCCACUCGCCAGAGCCCACGCCCUGGUCUUCAAAAGCCUGCCUGACCGCCCAGUUCUCUGCAUAUAUAUUAUCAUUUACAUGUAAGUGAUAGCUUAGCAAGCUUAAAUGGGUAAACUAGGGCUGGCCCUGCCGGGCUCGGUGCGGCGGGUGCCACUCCGGCAAGUGCCACUGCACUGCCUGGGGACUGCAUGAUUCCAGGCCCCUAUAGCAUCGAAAAAGCAUCAUGUGACAUACGUAAAGGUCUCUGGACGGUUUCUGGACUUAAAUUUUAGCGAAAACAGAAGUCAAAAUGUCAAAUGUCGCGCUCGCUAGGACCCAGCCAAUUCGCCUCGAAGCUAUCUAGCUUACAUCUAAGUGUGCAGAUAACUCGACAGCAUGAAAUCCAGGAACAAAAGACCGCCUAAGCGAGAUAUGGCAUGUGGAGCAGACGGACUGCAGGUUGCCUGGUCUGCGCAUUUAAUAUCUUAUGAUGUUUGUCCUUUAGUGAUUUGUGCAAGCCAGAAUGCGCCUGCAGACGACAAACAAAACAACAUGCUGAGCAUUUAAGGCGCAAUGUGCAUCCAGAACACUCCCAAUCCUGCCCGGACGGUUGCAACAAUCCUCAUAUGACAUCUAUAGGGUAUCGAAAUCGGCAAAUCGCCAGCAGGGAUGACCAAAACGCCUCGCGGCCCGGUGGGCCAAUUUGGGGUCGCCCCUCAGUUUUCCCCCCAGAACCCGGCCCCCAGAAUCCACUCGCCCACCGCGCCCUUUUGACCCCCAACCCGUGCAAUAAUCUUAUAUAGUGCUUACAUCAAUAUUUAGGCAAGCGUGGGCGCCUAGGAAGCCCUGUAGCGGUCUGGGCCAAAAGUGGGCCAAAUAUGGCACAUUCCGAGCUAGGGCGCGUGUUGACGCAUCUCAAAGUGCCCGUAACCCAAAACAUGCGGCACGUAAGCAGGCACAGAAGCCACACCAAGGCAAGUAGUACACAUGGCCCAGUAUCUUCUGCGCUAGCUGGCGGAUUUGCCCUUCAGCACCUGCGCAAAUGAGUACCAGACGCCACCCGCCAUGUUCAUGGCCAUGCCCGCAACAUUUACAAUGUGGAACUUGACGCCCCCCAACAGGAAGAACCCCAGCACACUGCUCACGACGCCCUUGAGCACGCCCACCACUGAGGUCGUCAGCGCGCUGUUUAGCUGCGUGCACAGAAUGACCAUACCCGUCAGCAGGCCCUCCAUCACGGCCGUCACCACGAGCCAUGUCAUGAACCCCACGUAGCCCAUGCUCUCAUGCAGCUCUUUCAGCAGCGUAGGGGCGGCCGCGGCGUCGCCUGAUAUGAGCGACGCAACAAUCAGCGGCACCGUGGCGAUGACGCAAAUGCUGUAGAGCAGCUCGAUAGGUCCCAGCGGACCUUUGCUUCCGCCGUCUUCUUCGAACCCUGGAGGUCCCGAUGCGACGUUCGUCAUGUGUGCCAGGGGGCUUGCGCGUCCGUGCGCAUGGUGGCAGGCAGGCCCGUGUGUGUGCGGCGUACUGUGCAGAUGUGCAUUGGCAUGCAGCUCCACGCCCGUGCUGUGUGCGACGUCCGCCUCAAACAAUAGCCCACCUGCGCCGUGAUGGUGAUGAUGCGACUGCGUGUGCCCGUGCGAGCCCCCGGCCUCCGCGCUAUCAACGUCAGAGCCUGGGCCUCCUGCUGACGCCACCUCCCGCUGUUUGUGCGCCCGAGCAGUAUGCGCCGGCCCAUGUGCACUGCCGCUGCGGCUACUGCUAGUACUACCACCACUACCAAGGCGCUCCGCAAGUAGGAUAUAGGUGGCUUGCAUAAGCGCGCACAACGCCGUUAGGGAGUAGCCCUGUUACAAGCAACCAUUGGGAUCAUACUGUGAGGCCAGGUGCAAGGUGUCAACUCCACAUAAGCAACAAUAUUGCCAUACAAUGUACUACAGUUCAUGGCACUGCCCAACCACAACUUACGUUCCCAUCGAAGGAAAGAUCCCCAGCACCAGCUACCAGGCAGCCACCUGAAGGUGUGCCGCCACAACAGUUCCUGGUGUUAGGGUACUUGCACGCUGGGACGCCCGAAUAGCCCAACCGCCUAAGCGAUGCCACAGCUCUUCAUGCUUACCGACAAUCAGCAGCACAGACAGCGUUGUAGCCAUGUCCGGCAUGCGCUGGUCCAUGACCCCCUGCGGCAUCGUGCAAAACCAGCGGUAAAGCAAUUGUGAAGACACAUGGUGCACAUGCGCUUUGAUAGCGAGGGGUGAGGGGCGAUCACGAUGGGGCGAGGGGCGAUGCGUGAGGGGCUGCUUAGUAGUAAGUAGCCCAGACCCCGUCGCUAACACCCACCUUCAUCACCAGUACAAUAACUGGUGUCAAGCGCUUAAGCGUGUUGUACAUGGGCACCGACAAGAACGCCCUGCACGUGACAAGGACACGAUGUUCAGUAGCUUGAGUGGGAGUGCCUGGUAACAACGCCUACCUACUGGAAACCCUUCACGCCCACAACAAUGGUUCAUCACACGGCAGUCCAAGUGCAUAUCUUACAGCGAGUAAAGCACGAGCACAGCGUGGGCUGCGUAGCAGAUUGUGAGGGGCAACAGCAUCCACACCCGAAUCUUGCCCAGGCGAGGUACGGUCGUGAAGCCCAACGCAGCCGCCACACGCAGUAGGACCAUGGCCGUCACCGUUUGCAUGAGCAAAAUGGCCGUGGGCAGUGGGAACACCAGCACCGCGUAUUUAUUCACGAAGUUUGCCGCCACAGCCACAGCCCCAUCUGCACAAAAGGGAGUGGGGCAGUUGCCAGCAAGGUAAGGGGCUUUCGGGUGCCGCGCCCUGUCGGGACCUCGUCAGGAUGCGAGUCCCAACCCAGAAGUAAUCUGCGCGCUUGCUUCCCCUUAUGCGGUAGUAUGCUUGUGAAAGCGAUAAACUGGUUGACGAUGACAUGACAUCUUUGCUUCACAAGCCGCGUCCAAGGGUGAAAGUAAAUCAGAUCAUAUUUGUCUGCAACACUUACAUAUGACUGCGACCAGGAGACCGAGCCAUAAUCGCGAGUUCAUUUCUGUCGCGGAAGCUGCUGCAGCUGACCCGUCCCUAUUCCAUAACGCAGAACUAGGGCUUGAUGUCAACAUUGAAGUACUAGUGUUGUUGUAACGACUGUAAUGUCACGGCUGUCACGGCUGUUGCAGCCAUUUGCGACAGUCGCCCUCAAGCGUUGUAGCCGGUCAUUGUUGCUAGCGCAGAUUAUUUUAUGUCGGCGAAAAGGACAAAUAGUCUGGCCGACCGGGGCCGCGCAGGUAGACGGCUCCAUGGUUUCCCUACUCCCCCCCCAUGCCACGUCCUGUCCAGGCUGGCAAGGGGGGGGGGGGGGGCGGGUAACUCCGCCGGAAUUUAUCCCCAUGAUUCAAAUGGAAAGAGCUUAGAGGGAGCGUUUAGAAUUUGCUUUCAGAGUUUCAAUCAGGGUAGUUGUCGCAAAGUUAUGGGCUCCCAAAGUUCAGUGUCGGUCCUCGGUCUUCUGUGUCCCAAGGUUUCGUCACGCAGCGUGUGGACUGCUAGGUUUCGUCUCGCGCUCAGAAUGCCCAUCUAAACGCUCCGCCCAAUAGCACAAGCACUAGCACACACAAGCAAGCACAUACUGGAGUAUUUGCAGAACGUUUGGCCCCUGGAAUGCGGCGGCUUGUCCGUCUGCAUCGGCAUCCAAGUCACGCAGAGCUCAGCAGAGCUCCACCUGAGCGUCUCUCACUGAUGUCAUGGAGACUAUGUGAGCUGACGCUGAUCCGUAACGGCCAAGGCUUGGUGUGGGUCGUGACGACAAGGCUGCCGGCAAUCAAUGCUGGCGACCACGUCACAUCGAUCCCGGGAUGCUUCACAAGAUCCCGGGAGAAACGUGACCCAUCUCUUCCGGCACACAAUUCCGAACAUCGUAUGGACGAGCGCAAAUGCAAGCUUAAGCAUACGCCCUGUUAGAGUGUUAGUCCCGCAGUAGGGUCAGUGAUCGGCCAUGGACACAUGGACAUGUGUGGCAUGGCUGCCGGUCAAGAACUUGCCUCCCGCUGAACUGGAGGUAUACCAUUGUAGAGCUCGCCGAGAGAAGUCGAUUGACACCGACCUGGCUAGAAACGAAAGGGGUUUGAGUGGGUUUUGAGGGGGUGCACGGUGGGUAGGGGCGGUCGGUCGGUCCGGAUGGGGGCUCGGGAGGUUUUGGGUCAUGGCCUCAUGGGGUCCAAAAUCAUUGUUUCCCCCCCCCCUUGAAUGAGCUUCCCUAAACCUACCCCACGCUGUCAGCCUGCUGCAAUGUUUGACAUGGUUCGGUUGUCAAUUUGUCAUAGGGCUGGCAUCGUCCUGUGGCAGACACGCGGCCGGUUGGAUGCCCCGCUGAUGCCCACCUGCCGUCGGCCCAAACCAGGGCUCGCAUCUUUUAGGGGUAGGCCGCCGCCGCUGGCGAGACGGGCCCUGACCACGUUCUCGCCCACGGCAUCCAGGGGCCCCCAAACACCUAGCUUUUAGUGUUUGGGGGGACUCCGCUCCUUAACCCCCCCCCUUGCAGCGCGACUGUUUCCUUACGGGAUUGGUUCAAAGUUACCCCCCCCCGGGGAAGGGGUAGUUGGCGAGAUUCAGGGACCGUAAUCACCGUAUACAGCCUCACGCGGCGAGAAUGCACCCCGGUAAUGCCCAAUCUUGUUCGCUUAAGAGGCUGCAUUGGGACCCGUACCUUGCUGCUCCCCGAAGACGCAAGCCCUAGCACAAACCUGGCGUCCUGACCAAGGUCCUGACUCCCCCGCCCCAACGUUAUACCGUAAACAGGGUGUCUCCAGGUUGGUUCUGCGUGGCGCGGAAUAUUCCGUUGCCUCCGGCACCCACCUGGCAGAGUCCGUUAGCCCAGCCAGCACAUCCGGAUGCCUCCUCACAGUCUGCGACCGGCGGCUCAUGCAGUGCUCGUAUCUUAAGAAGGCAGGUGCGGCGCCAGUGACAGAUUUCCGAAAUAGGGCAUCUUUAAUUUUCAGAAAACCGCUGCCGCCGCAUCUUUCAUCCAAAAAUUUUCCGGGGGCUCCGCCCCCGACCUAUGCACGGUUCGUGUCAAGCCAGGGGGGUGGCAGGCCGUGUCAGCAAUCUCUCAAUCUCCCAUUCGUGCCGUGCAUCCAUCUCAAAACAGAAACUCGCUCCACACAAACACACAGCUUUGUACACAUGGCUGGUACUGGGCAUCUGGUGCAAUGGCAAACAAGCUUGUCCUGUUGCAGCGUGCCAAAUGCGGCUGCAGUUGCCCCCAGCCCACAUUCCGGCUCCGGCACAGCAAAAUAUUCCGCCGCACCGCAUGUGCCGCUGUCACAGCGUGCAGGGUGAGGUUGCUGUUGCCCUCAGCCCACGUUUCGGCUCCGGCACAGCAAAAUAUUCCACCGCACGGGAUGUGCCCCUGUUACAGCGUGCGGUCUGUUGCCUUCGUUGCUGAAAAAGCACCGGCUCUAUGGCUCCAUGGCACAACGUGGCCCAUCCCCACGCCAAACCCCAGCGCCCUCUCCCACGCUCAUACAUCACGCUCACCCACCCACGUCAUGACUCCCCUAGUGGAAGGCUGCCCUAUCUUGGUGUGCCCCCACGGUGCCAGCAGGACACGGCCGUAGAUAGAGUUUCCUGGGGAACCUCAGUCACCCUUGCCUUGGGCCCGGACAAGUUACAGAAGCGCCCUAAAAUGUCUUCUGCGAAUCUCAGAAAGACCCCUCAAAACCUGAAGCGUUUCCACAGAUUUUUGGCGGCAAGAAUAAAAAAAUUCUUCCGCCGGAGGCAUUUUGGAGCAAAUUUCUGUCGAAAAGAAGGAAGAUACGAGCACUGGGCUCAUGUCAGCCUCAGCGUCCGUUUUGGAGGUAACAUGUGGACUCGCAUUUUGCGCUACUGACUGGCUGGUUUCUCCCCUUGCUUGCUGGCUCCGACGACCUCCUCUGGCAUCGUGUGUACCGUAACUCGUUUCCUUAGAGCAUCUUCGAUAAACAGGCCCCGCAGCAUGCCCGGGCUUCCUUAGUUUAGACCCGCUGUGGAGGCAAUUGAACCCAUUGCACAGUCCGUAGUACGUACUGGCGCGUACUAGUACGUAUUCUUGAAUGGUUACACGUGGGAAAACACGCUGUGCAAGGAACAGGUCCGAACAUCACGGGCAUCCCAAGACAUGCUGGGCUGUCAGCGCGUAUUCAAAUGCAAAGGCUUUUGGAUAGGGGUAAAACUCUGCCCUCAAACUCGAACUCACACGUACUGCAACCGGCCGCCCGCCGUGUUACAGUGCCCUCCACGGGUGUGACAUGCCCCCAUGGUGUACUAGGGCAAAGAUGGCUAGUCACCACAUCGCGUCGUUGCCAUAACCAUAUGAACGAUCAAUUGCAUUCAUAACUGGCUUGCGCACGAACCAACUGCAACAUUUACACUAGCCUGUGUAGAACUGUGUCUAAUUCCCCCCAAGCACAUGAAUCCUUGCACACAUCCACACAUAGCCAGGCGGCUGGCGGUCUACACUCAGUAAGUCAUGCGCCCCUCGCCACAAAUCAAUGACAAGAAGGAAUCUAAUGCAGCUCCACAAUAAAUUGUAUAUGCCGUGAGCUAAGCCCCACAACAGAAGGCACGAGACUAUUGGUGUCACUGUCCUGGUCGAAGGUCACAGGGAUCAACACGAAUCGGUUGCGGGUCACACACGAGGAAGGUUGCAAUCGGUACGUGCUAGCGUCCCCGAAUCACAGGGUGCCGCGGCUAAGGACUGUUGAACCACAGACUAUUGCACAACUUUCCCCACAGUCGUCAGAGCCCUACCAUUAGAGGCACGUUCUGUCUCGCAACCGAAACAAGGUCACAGUCAAGGCCCGCUUCAAUACAUACUGCACAUGCUGUAACCAUUUAUUUCUGCUGUCCACACAGCGCCCACUCCCACCCAAUAAUCAAUCGUGCCAAGUGCAAACCCCCGCGCACCGCACGCAUCAGUUCAGUGGCGCACCGCCACCGUGCUCAUAGCCUCCAGCUCGCCCAGCACGUGUCGCAUGUCGGGCCGGUCCGCCGGGCGGUACGCCAUGCAAGCCUCCAGCAGCGUCGCCAGGCGGGGCGGGCACACGGCCAGGUCGGCGGGCACGGGCAGGCGCAUGCGGUGCACGGCCACACGGUAAAUGAUGGCCACGUUGGAAUCGCCACUCCAGGGGUGCUCCUGAGUGAUCAUUUCUGUGGAAGGGUAGCGGGUGGGCGCAGCAGGUCAGAAAUGCUUGUCCCAUAGAGGCUGACCAUUGCACGAAUUUCAACUGUGCACUUUGAAACGCUCAGCACCCACAUUCAAGUGCAUGGACUUGUAGCCGCACUGUACUGGUGCUUACCCCAGAGGAGCACGCCGAAGGAGUAGACAUCGCACUUCGAAGACAAACGGCCAAUGGCAGGGUCAAAGCCCUCGGGCGCGGUGUAAGCGACGCUGCCCGCGUCUGGCUGCUGCGUGCUGAUGUAGGGCUUGAGGUGGUAGCGCGCCAGCCCGAAGUCACUAAUCUUGGCAGUGCCGGUGGCAUCAAGCAGGAUGUUGGCCGGUUUCACUGCAUGCAGGCAGGGGCGAUGGGCAGACUUCAUCAUCACGAGUUCCACCCAUGUCAUACUUUGCUAAUCGUGACCACAGUGCAACACAAGUGCACGGAACAAGGUGCGCAAGCGGGACAAGCUUCAGGCUCACAAUCGCGGUGCACGAUGGCGGGGUGCAGGUAGCGCAGGCCGCGCGCCACGUCCGUGGCAAUCCGCAGCACCUCGCUGAGUGGCAGGCGGCUGUUGGCGCCAUGGAUGACAUUGUGCAGGCAGCGCGGCAGCAACUCCAUCACCAAAAAGGGCCGCCCGGCGUGCGCGCAGCCGCCCAGCACGCGCACGAUAUUUUGGUGCUGCGAUGAGGGGAAAAGGCGACAUCUCUAAUCUAGCAUUCGUGCAGAUUCACAGGCGAACUGGCCCGCCCUACACGGUACGCAUAGCUUCCCGGCGACUUGCAGCACAAGCAGGUCAUGCGCUCACCCGCAGUGAUGCCAGGAUGGCGAUCUCUUGCCGGAACGACUCCACUUCCUUGUCCUUGUACGGCAGUGCGCCGCCAGGCCCACCCGGCGAGCCACCCGGCAUGGGCUGCUGCAGGUGCAGAUGGUGCAGCACCUUGAUCGCCACGGGCUGGUCCCGGAAACGGCCACGGUACACUGAGCCGAACGCGCCGGCGCCCUGUGGAUACACAGUAGCACACACAGCUUUGAUCAGGUCUACUCAUGCCUUGCUGUGAAGCCCAAGCCUGGUCGGCAGCCCGCAGGCACACAAUACGGCCAUAUGCAGACAGGAGGCUUACCAGCAGCCCGUCGGCCUGCAGCUUGAGGUCGCGCGGGCUGAUGUCCAGGUCCAAGUGGGGGUCAGCGGGGGCCGGCAGCAGCACAGCUUGCCCGCUGCUGCCAGCUGCCCCGGCCGUGGUCGCUGUCGCUGCACUCGCGCUUGUGUCCGCUGCCGCUGGUAUUCCGCGCGAGCGCGUCGGCGGUAGUGGUGGCAAAGCGCUGUCGUGGGUGGGUGACAAACCGGCGACCCCGCCUGUUUUGGCAGGCGGGUGGCCAGCGGCGCCCUCUGCAUCUGACAAGACCGCUACUGCACCCGCCGUGCCUUGCGACGACCGCAUCGACAGCGUCGUGCCGUUACCCGAUAUGCUGCCUGAUUCUAACCCCGAGGGUGCCCCUGAGGCGGAGUCCGACACCGGCUGCGACCCACUGCUGUAGUUGCGUCGGCCGGCACUGCUGUGAUUCACGUUUGCCAGCCCGUCCUCCCGCUGCUCUGGGGCGCCAUCGCCGCCGCUGACUACGUCGUGCAGCGCUGCCGAGCCACACGCCAGGCCGCUCAGCGCUGCUGCCACACCGCGGCCGAGGCCCUCCGUGUAUGUGCGCCACCGCUGCAGGCGCGCAACCGACGAUGCCUGAGAGCCGCCGUGCGCCACCGUUGGCAGACCACUGAGUGCGCUUGACCGCAUACCUAAGUCGCCGCUCGGCGUUGCUCUGGAGAGCCGCGCUAUGUUCAUGGCCAGCUGCACAGACAGCCGCUCAAGCGUUGCGGUUGGCGCGGCGGCAGCAGGGACCGGCCGCUGCGGCGUCUGCGGCUCGGAGGCUGCGUGCCGCGGCGGGCUGGGCGGCGCGCCACCGCUGCUGGUAGGUGGCGUGGCCAAGUAGGCGCCAGUGAGCGGCGACUGCAUAAACAGGUCCUGCAGCGUCAGCUCGCAAGGCGCUUCACGACGGCGCAUGGAAGAUGACGCCGGGUGCCGGGCCGGUGAGGGCGCAAAGGCGCUGGUAGCAGGUGGUACGGACCCGGGUGUGCCGGGGGAGCCGCUGGAAAAGGCCCGAGACGCCAUCGGUUGCACCGGUCCAACCAAAGCAGCGGGCUGUGGGCAGCCGCUCCCCGCGCUAACGCCGCCCACUCUGGGUGUACGCUGGAACGGCGUCGCGGCGACACCUGUGGGCUGCCGGGAAGCGCUAGCUGCAGCGCCGUGUAGCGCGCCGGGUGAAAGUGGCGGGAGGCUGGACGGGACGGCGCUGAGCCCGUUUGCUGCAAGCAGGCCAGCUGCAGAUGGUGCGGCGCUGGUUGCGUUUGACAGGCAGAUGUUCUGCGCCGCUUCCCGGAACACAUCCAUUACACCGAAGCUGCUCGCGCCCGGGGCCCUGUCCCCACCGCAACCCUCCAGCGCCGCAGCCGCGGCCGCUAGCGUGUCCCCUGCAACGCCUCCCUCCACAGCUGCUGCCUCUUGCUGCUGCCACACAGGGGCAGGCAGCGCACGAUGUGGCGAUGCGCGAAUCACAGCCACGCUGUCGCCCUCAGGCAACAGCACUGACACGCGGUGCGGGUCAAGCCCAGCCUCGCCGCCGCCCGGGUAUAGCACCACCCACUGCGGCGAGGCCACACCACCGCUAGCCGCCGCCUCCGUGCCAAUGCUGGUGGUACCCCCCAGCGCCACGCCCGUGCCCGCCACGGACACCUGCGAUUCCAGCGAGGACUGGUAGGCCAGCAGUCCGCCGUCGGCCCGCUUCGUGCUCAGCUGCUUCUUCUGCGCCUGCUGCAGCAGCUGCUCCACGUGCUGCUUGUCCUGCUGCUGCAGCGGGUGUGCCAGUUGGUGGUAGGUGCUGUCACCGUCCGUAAGCGAGAUGCCGACCCAGGCGGUGUCAGCAGCGGCACCGGACUCGUGCUGCGCCUGGUACCCCUCUGAGCUUGCCGGUGCGGCAGGCGCUGGACCAGGGCCCGGCGCGGGGCCGCUCUUGUUGGCGCCAGCUCCGCCAAGGCUGCGGCGGCGGUACAGGACAAACACUACGACCAGCGUAGACACGAACGCCGCCGAAGCUAGCGCCGCUAUGACCACGAUGGCACCCGUUGAUAAAUUUGCAGAGGCUACGGGCGGGCAGAAGGAAUAGGUAAAGUUGUGUCAGGACGGAAACCAGAAUGGUAGUAACAGGAUACUGGGAUCAACGUAACAUUUCGCGCAAAGCACGCUAAACUUACUGUAAGAGAUGCUAGGAGGCGGCGGUGGGAACCACUCUUGGCCGUUCUGGACGCGCCCAGGUGGCGGCCGCGGAUGGGUGCUUACGUGAUCCUCAUAGCCGGGAAACGGCGGGGGCGGUGGAGGCGGAGGCGGUGGUGGAGGCGGGGGUGAAGGGGAGCGCGGUGGACUCGGCGGUUGCGGCGGCGGCGCCAGCUCAAUUAUCAGCCCCGGCGGCGGCGCGCCUGGCGGGCUGGGCGGCGUGAAGGGUCCCGGGGGUGGGUGCACUGGCGGCGGCAGUGCCGGACCGCCCGGUGGCGGCGCGUUGGGAGGCACUGGUGCUGGCGGGGGCCGGCAGCACAGCAGCACCCUGGGCACCACCUUGAGCCCAUCCUGCUCCAGCAGCGCUGUAUACACCGCAGGUAGCGCAUUGCUGCAGCCGUACGCCUCCUCCCGGUGCACCAUGCCGGUAGUGCUCAGCAGCACCGCCCUCACCUCCGUGUUGCAGGGCACGGCACCCAGGCUGGCAAACACCUCCACGCUGCUGGGCAGCGCCGCCUGCAUGCGCCGAAAUGACCGGCUGUACAGCCGUGCCGGCCACGUCGCUGUCACGAUCAUGUACGGAACCGCAAGUACCAGAUCCGUGCUGUUUGCGCCUGUGCCGUUCACUGCCAGGGACUCGUUCGAGGCGGUGUACGCACUAGGCAGUGGCGCAGCGGAGCCGUAGCGUGGCAUAGGCGUGGUGCUGCCUGAGGAGGAGAGCUCGUUGCUGGCGUAGCAGCCGUACUUGCCGUUCAGCAGGCCAUACGGCUGCGCCAGCGUCUCGCACGCCGCCAGCAGCUUGGCGCAGAGCAGGCGCUGCGGGUCUGCCAUUACGAAGAGAGUUAGCUGCGGCGCGCCCGGCACUGCUGCUGGUGGCGGGUAGCGGCGCGUCGGCGGCCGAGGCGGGCGGGUGGGGAGCUGUGGAUGCGGCUGCGGCGAGGGUGGUUCCGGCGAGGGCGGGUCCGGCAGCGCGCGCCACGGCGGAAGCACCGGCGGCGGCCGUGGUGGCGUGUGGCGUUUGGGCGGCCGCGGCACGUUGGUGGCGCAGCACAUGGCCGGCAGCACCAGCGACGCCACGCUGCCCGGCACUGACAGCGUGCCGUCGCAGCUGAAGGUGUACACAGUGGCGGUGUCCUGGUCCUCCGUCAGCGUGGUGGCCAGGAGUGCACCGCCGCAUGGCAUGCCCGCCACCUGCAUGAAGGUGCUCACGUCUGCGCCCGUGUCCGUACCAAGGCUCGCAAUCGCACGCUGCGCCAUUUCGAGUGACGGCAGGACAGCGGACAGUACGAAAGACGACAGCGACGGCGGACUGGGCGCAGUCAGCGAUAGCGGCAGCGACGGCGGAGAUAGCUGCUGCAGUCCGGGGUCGCUCAGGUCCUCGCUUCCGUCUGUCAACACCUCCCGGCCGACGUAGCAGAGCUGGUUGCGAGAGAAUAUGUUGCCGCUGUCCAGCAGCUCCAGGAACAUCGGCUGCAGCUCCGCGCAGGAGCGUAUGCCGGUCAGCCCCCGCAGCUGCAUGAUGGUCUCUGGCGUCUUUGCAACAUCCGAGACUGACUGCGGCGGUGGCGCUGACAGGGGCCAGCCCCCUCCCGGAGGCGGGGACGCCGCCGGCUGGGCCCAAGCGGCGUCAAGCAAGCUCUGCGAGGUGUUAGGGCCAGCGAAUGGUGCACAAGAGCUCUCGCCUCGCAGAUCAAAUCAGCUGUUGUUCAAUUCGAAUUACUAAUUCUUAACACAACUCCCGUUGCAAAAGCCCACGCAGCUGACGGUUUGGCAUGCCCCGGCUGUCACCCGUUGCCUGUUCCCAGGAGCCUCAUCCCAGGCUGAAUAUGUGACGAGAGUUAACGUGCUAAGCUCGCGGCAGGCAGUCGUGCGGAGAAAGAGACCAGUCAGAGCUGACCGCAGCCCGGAAAACUUACCCCAGCGAGCAGAAGUAGCAACAAAGCACUUCGUAGAACUUUACAUAUAAAGCUCAUGACGAUGCCGUGGAUGGGGCACCGUCUUAGCGCUCAGCUCCUCAGGCCGGUUUCACCGAGCUACAGGCAUUCUGUCGCCGCGCCUCGUAUGUGCCGCCUCUCACGCGCGACUUAAUUGUUACAGCUUAUAUGAGCUAUUUGUAGUCAAACGUAAUUGACUCGCGUGGGAAUACGUGUGGUCUUUGCACAACUGGCCCUGCUGGUGACGGGCGCAAGCAACAACCCGGCUCCCUACAGUGUCGAUGAAAUUCAGCGUUAAGUGGAGAUAGUUCAUCCACUGAUAGCAUUUAAUUUGAAGGGUUGCGGUGGGCGAGACUCUGUUUCCAGUCUCGAGCCACCAUGGGGCGCCCAUCCCAAGGGGAACUCAGAGCGGUCGCUCAACACUCUGCCCGUCGCCCCACAACACUCUCUCUUCUUCAACACGCAUCAAAAUGGGUAAGCAUAUGGAUUGAAAUAUUUUUCUGUGUUGUCGCUGAGUAUACGUUCGCUUGUUUCUUGCAGGCAAGGUCCACGGUUCCCUCGCCCGUGCCGGUAAGGUGCGCGGCCAGACCCCCAAGGUCCCCAAGCAGGAGAAGAAGAAGCGCCCGCGGGGCCGUGCCAUGAAGCGCAUGAAGUACAACCGCCGCUUCGUCAACGUCGGUGAGCGCACAUUUCUGCAGCCGACCGGUGAUUUGCGCAGCGGAAGCCGCCUAUUUGGAGGCUGGGAUCAGCAGCAGCGGCGAUGACUGCAUUUAGUGGCGCUGGGCUCGCGAGGAGACCACAAAGGCGGACGUGCAUCUUGCCGCCGGCAGGCUGGCAAGCAGUCGUGUUAGCAGGCGGCGGUGUGAGCCAUUGUCCAGGAAUUGUUUGGAUUGGCAGGCUGCAAAUUCUGCGGACUUCUUUGGCAGCUGCGCAGACUUUCAGCCAGGGCUGGAUGGCCAAAGUCGGAGCCACUGUCUUCACCAAACAUUGUCUUUCUUCUGUCUGACUCAUGUUCUGCCCUUGCAAUUGCAGUGGUGGGCUUCGGCAAGAAGCGCGGUCCCAACUCCAACCCCGCCUAAGCGGACGCGGCCAGUUGUAGAGGCGACACUCUGGCGUAUCGGCGUGGCAGCUAUGGGCUCUACAGGACUUAUUAGCGCCUUGUCGUGGAGUUCAGAGUAGCCCUGCAGCCGCUGCAUCGGCGGCGGUUCUGGCCUCGCGGGGCGCACAGCAGAGCAGGAGCGGCGUAGCAUUUGGAGAUUGCGGGGAGCGACAAGCAGGAGCUUUAGUCGUGGUGAAGAGGGCCUGACAGUUCUGGAGGCUCGGAUGUCGGAGCCCAACCUCGCUGGUGGGUGCCGCGAGGCCCCGCAGCGCAGACAGUGGACCAGGUUCCUAUGGUAUCCGUUGGCUGUAACGGCAGUUGCGGAGCUGGGACGUGUUC